GUAUUACUUCUUAUCCAAUCUUUCGUUUUAGUUUUUCAAUGUUCUGGAAUUAUCCGAUCUUGAAAUGGAUGAGCUUUAUGUUUUUUUCUCUAUAAUUGUUGAAUAAAAAUACAUUUUUUGGGAUGGCGAUGGUUAUUUUUGUUGGGAUUUUUUAGGUUUGUAAGUCUUUCUAUUUUCUAAUGGUAGAUAUAGUCUAUGCGUUUUCUAACUUUUUAGGUGUUUUCUUCACUUUCUGUUUAGCUAAGUUUAUUAGCUUGGGGGAAUGCAGGAUUUUUAUAGCUUUAUCGGCUGCUGAUAUUACCUACUUACGGGAGUUCUGCUGGAUUUUAAUCUGGGAUUGGAGAUGUUUAUCUUUACCUUUCUAUGGUCAAAAUUUUGUAUUCUCAGAUUUUUAUUCUUUUCUUGUUUAAUUAAAUUACUUAGGCUUGCUGUUCCUUUGGUGCAGAGUUGCCACCCUCUAAGUAAAUAAAAAAAUUGUAGGAAUUUUAUGAUAUUCACUUGCUUUUGUGGCUGUACUCCAUGUCACACCUGUUCUCGUAGUUGAUUUUUGGUUGCCAUUUUGUAAAUAUAGAUAUUCUCUUCAACUAUAAUUGUCAAAGCUGGCAUUUUUCCUGAAAUUAGAUGUGCACACAUGUAAUUUGCUUGUUGUGUAAACAAUCUCUACAGAAAUUGUGAUUUUUCUUCAAGGAUCCUCUCUUCCCAUUUUUAAACACCUAUCUAUUUUAUGUGAAGUGGGUGAUAACAACUAGACACGAGCAACUGCCUUGUAAGUACAGCGUCUUAGAAUUCAAGUUGCUGGGAAUGUUUGAAAUGCGUGUAUCAGCAUUGUCUUUUGGUUAAUAUUGAGUGCCAUUAUAUGGUGAUGGAUCUGUAAUAAGCUUAUUCUUUGUUUUUAGAUUUUCCAUGUUAUUGGUCAAUAUUAUCAAAGUGAUGUGCUUAGUUGCUCCAUCUAUUUUGCCUCCAUCAGGCAUUGUAAGUGGGCUUAAGCAUUUAACUUCUGAGAAAGAUGUGCUUUCGUACGACUGAGUUUUGAAAGCGCGAGUAUUUUUACUGUGCCACAAGAUCAUAUCAACUACAAAUAUCAACCUACUGGCAGAUUCAGGAAUUUUGUUUAAGCGGCUCCAGUCAUCUAUACAAGCUUUCUAAUUUAAAAAUUUUUGGGAACUAACUAAUAAAUUUGCUUACCUGGUGGAAAGUCAACUUAGACGAUUAAAAAUAAUAAGCAUAAGGCAGUGAAAAAUGAAUAAAAGAAGGGUGCAGUUUAAAUCCAUUGUACAGGGGCCACUGGAGCCUGACGCUUGUCAGGGGGAUCUUGAUAUUUGAGCACCACAGAUGGUCACUUUGGAUAUAUGCCCACCAACAGCCUUAUUGGCAUCAGUUGUCAAAAAGAAGAAACAUGUCUUUCCUAAAAUAGAAAUAAGAAGAAAAGGAAAUUGGUAGACACAAAUAUGUUGCUUGAAUACAAAGACAGAAAUUCAUCAUUGUCACAAAUGAAACUGAAACCUUAAAUUGAGAAAUAGUUCACAAUCAUAUCUGUAAAAGUGAGUAUGUAUAGAAUGAGUUCACGAGAAGGAAAGCAUGCUUGGACAGAUACAAACAAUUUUUUCAUCACAAACAAAUACAACCUGAUACCUCUGUAAUGUGGCUUCUAAGUUCUAGUGGAUUUGCACUGCAUGGGGGUAUCAGAAGUUUGAUAUUCCAUGGGUUCAGUGGGUCCUACUCUACUUUUGAUCAAUAACAGGAAGCGUGAAAAGAUAACUAUAGCAAAGCUCUUUGAGUCACAACUUCAAAAAUUUUGUGCCAUAAAUCUUGCCCCCUCCAACCAAAUUUAUGCUAAACAUGAUUUGCCUCUGCCACACAGGCAUGUUAUCAAUUUAUUCCUAAAGGGGUUGCCUUGGUGCUAAACCGAUCUUGCAAAGGGACCCCAAAAGUGUAGGUUGUGAUAUCUAUGGAAAUUAUCAAUACUUAAAGAUCUCAUUUGGAAGAUGACCUUGCAAUGAGCUUGGAUCACAUGUGAAUCUGUAGGUAUAUAUCCAGUUUUUGACACUUUAGAAAUUCCAGGGUUGCAAGCACCCCUCUUGCCCCUGGAUCAUGUUAAGUCAGACCAGGAAUACGAUCCAAAUCAGUAUAGCUAUAUCAUGAACUAAUACAAGAACUAUAAUAGAAAAUCCAUGAAAUUGAAGUAGAUUACUUGUAUCAAAGUGAAGUACAUAUUUAUGUUGCAUCAUACAGCUUAAAAUGGAUUUCUUCAUUCUUUUUUCAUACGCAGAACUAUAGAUAGAUACUUUAAACACAAGAGAAUGUAAUAUUGUACCAUGCAUGUGAAAUACACCAUAGAUGCUGUCAGCUUUAAGUUGAUUUUUUUUUUAAAAGUAUAUCAACCCACAAGUAGUGGUGUUUUUGGUGUUCAGAAGUCUCCAAUUUAUUGAAUUUAUUGAAUAGUUUUUCUUGGAUGCAUAUGAAAGAUACCAUUACCUAGCAUAUAAUACCAAAAUUUUAUGAUUCAUGUCAUGUAAUUUUUAUGUUGAAAAAUACUAUUAAUGCUUAGAGUUGGGAUGAAUUAUGCAAUUGCAGGUAUGUCCCAUUUGUGCAGCUAGGGUUGGUUUGGACUUGGUUGGGCACAUAACAACACAGCAUGGAAGUUUCUUCAAUAUAUCCUUUUGUCUUUAUGAAUGACUAUCAUCUUUUUUGAAGUUUAAACUAAUAAUGUUAUGCUUAGAAGGUUAUUGUAUUUCUUUAUAUAUUUAUAAAAUGGUCAUGAUUGGUGUUUAAAUAAUUUUAGCAAUUGAAUUCCUUAAUAGAAAAUCACAUGCAAUAUAGAAGGAGAUUCCGCAGAGGUUCACCUGGGUCCCAUUCAAUGCUAUCUUUGUUGAGAAAGGAUCUAAGGGAAGGCAAUCUACAAUCUCUUCUUGGAGGAUCUUCCUACAUGGCUGGCCCUUCUGCUGCGGCACCUGAUCCCUUUCUGUCAUCAUUGAUUUACACUUUACCUGUGGCUGAGGCAUCAAGAGAUGUACAACCUGAGUCUUUGGAUGAAGGAAGUCUGGUUAACAAGAGUUUAGAUGAAAAGGUUGCAGAGAGGUAUGAUGUGUUGGAUUCAUGGUUUAAUGUUCCCAUCUUCCCUAUGUCACAAGAAUUUGGUGUAUGCUAGAUGAUUGAAACAGGUGAUAUUUAUGGUAAUUUAAUGUUCCCGUCUUUCCUAUGUCUUAAGAAUCUGGUGUCAGCAUGAUUGAAACUGGUGAUAUUGUUUAUUUCUUGCAACUUAUCAAUGGUUCAGCAACUUCCCUUUUUUUCAAAAAAUGUUCUUUUCAGAAGUCUUAAAUACUUUAAUUAUCACUUAUUUUGUAGUGAAGAUAAUUAUCAUUUUGGACAAGCACAUGAUGCAUGAUGUUCCGUACUAGUUAUAAAAAGUAAAAUCUAUGAGGACAAUAAUGCAUAUUAAUCACCAGAAUUAUUACUUUGUAAGUUAAAGUUUAAAUUAGGUGGAGUAUGAGAUCAAGAAAUGCAGAUAAACUUAUGGAUUAUUGUACUAUAAUUUUCAGUAUUGUAUUUUGUGUUGAAUCAUAUGGUGGCCUCAAGUUAUUCUUGAUGCUUUUCUCUAUCUCUACUAUAUGGAUGUUAUGCAAUUUUUUCAUACUGUGGAAGGAAAAAUUGUAUUGCAUCAUGCUAUGCUUUAACUUGCAUCACAAUGUAUAUUCAAUUAGAAGUACAUCAAGAUUUGCUAUACCGGUGUGUAUCGUUGUGUAUCGGAUGUAAUGUACCGUACCGUUACCGAACUGAGGCUCGAUAUGGGGGGCGUAUUGAGUCUUGGUAUACUGAACCGAUCCUCGUACCGGGCAUACCGACAUUGUACCAGCAUGGCAACUGGUACGACACUGGUACCAAAAUGGCGAACCUUUAAGUGCAUUGUUUUGCCUGAUCACAACUAAUGGCCCAAACAUUCAAAUGCAUCAUUUAACCUCUUAAUUAUGUUGUACAUCAUUUAUCAAUUCUGAUUCAAUUUAAAUGCGAGUUAGUAGCAAAUGUUUGAAUGAUUCAAUUUAAGGUAAUGCUCAUGGACGGUGGGAUUGGAUUUUUGGGAUGGCAACAUUGGGAGCUUGUGAUGUCGGAUAUCACUAUCAUUCCUAAAGCUUGUAAUAGUGAAAGCAUGAUUUAUGGUUUUCCCUCGAGGGAUAUCAUCGAAGCUUUGGGGUGACAACCAAAAUUUAACUCUAUCAUCUACAGGAUGAACCUAUGCUCUAGUCAACUGCCAUCACUCCAAUAUUAAUAUAAUUGAGAAAUUUAUUGGUAGGAGAUAUAAAAGUUAGUCUUGAAGUUCUAGAGGCUUAGGACAAGAUGAUAAAUGUUUUUUUAGUUACCACUGAUUAUGAAUUUAUGGCUGGUUGAUGUUAAAUGCGGAAUCACCUGGUUAGCAUAGGGACACUUAUGCUGAUAGUUAUUGUUAUUCUCUCUUACUUCUGUUUGAACCUCAGCAUUUGGAAUGUUGUACUUAGAAUCUUGUAGUCCUAAUGUGAGCUUGUGGUGCAUAACUUAACUACUGCUUAUCCUUUAGUUUGUCAUGGAUCCAUGACAUCUAGUGCGGACUUCAUUUUUAUUUAGUCGUAUUAUAUUUAGUCAUGUUAUUAGUUCUUGUGGUUAUUUUAUUGUAUCAGGAGUACUGUAACUUGUUAUUAGCUGCCUCAAGAGUUCUAUUGCUUGUUUUAGUUAUUUGUGUUAUAUGUAAGGCAAAGAGCAGAUUAGUAAUUUGCAUGUUGAUGUGUUGCACUGAAGUUGAUACUGGUCAUUUAUUUCUACUACUAUAUUAGCCUUAUGGACAUAAUUUGGGUAUGUAUAGGCCUGUUAGAGUUCUGUCAAGAAUCUUAAUUAACAACUAAUAUCAGUCAUUUCCAAGCUUUUACCGAAGCGAGAUUUUAUUGAUGACUGAAAAAAAUUGAGAUUCUAAAUUUUAUUUUUGCUAGCUAUUAAUUGCCUCCAGUGAUGUUUAAAAUCUCAAGUGUACCUGGGUUUUCUAGCCUAAAACCAGUGCCUGGCAACCCUUGGGACAAUUUCUUAGGUUAGCCAGUCUGGACCAUCCUGAACUACGAUGAACCAGCUCGUACCAGCCCCCAAUCUACUCACUUAGUGCCAAGCUUAAAGGUAUUUUCACACCCUCUUUUUUCCUCUCUGGUACUAACUGGUACCCUGUCUUGUAACUGAUAUGCGUACUGGCUGGUGUGCAGUACAGGACGUAUUGAACCUUAGCUUCAAAUUAUUUGAAUCAUCGGCAGAAAGUAUGGUUUGUGUUUUUUAAUCACCUCCUUUGUAAGUUCAAAAAAUUGAGGAGGCAUGAUUUUCAACUUGAGCUGUUUCAGUUACCGGCAUUGGUGGAAAACUGUGCAAGUCAGUGAUCCUAAGAAAUAAGGAGGAUUACAAUACUGGAUUUGUAUAGGAGGAGUCGUAUUUACCUCUAUAUAAUUCAAAAGACAUGAAUAUGUAAUGUUGAAAGCACAUUUAUCCAUAUAGGUUUGGAGAUUGAUGGAAAAUUCCAUUACCGAUAACAUUGGACCAUCUGUUGAAUUUUGGUGGAGGAUUGUUAAUGUAACAGAGGAAACUUGUUAUUAAAUUUCAUGUUGAAGUUGUAGGAAUUGAAUGAAAUUUCAUGAGCAUUCAAACAGAAUAUGAGGAAACCUUUGUGAGAACUGAGAAUUGAUCAAAUGUCUCAAAUGUUUAAAAGGGGAGGGGCGGACCUAAGUUAUGGAAUCAUUGUUUAAAGGAUUGGACUGGUCGGUUGUGGUUGAGGAUAUAGCCCUUAAUAGGAACACUUGCUGAAGGACACAUAAAAUCAAAUCCUCAUUUGGGGUAAAGCUUAUUGUUGGAUGAACUUACUAUCCUUGGUUGAUUUCUUGUUGGAGUCUCUAAAUUAAGAAUUUUCCUUUAUAUCUGGUUUCGGUUGGUCUUUGUGUUUGUUAUGGUUUCUAUCUUGGUUUCAGGCAUUCGUAGCUUUGUUUAUACUUAUCUUUUUGUUGGAUAAUAUUUCUUCGAAAUAAGUUGGUUUUUAACUUAUUAUGUAAAUAAGUCAAAGUAUGUUAAAGGUCAAUACUGAAGGAAGCAGAACCUUAAGCAACUUUUAGAUACCAAAGAACAAUACAAAUGAAUAGGAAACUAUUUUAAGGAGAGGAUAUGAGUCAAAAAUUACCCCUAUCAAUAUUUUUUCUUAAUGAGAAGUACCACUUUGGAUGGAUGGAAUUGAAUGGAACUGGAUAAUUGUAUCUAGAAAGAAUCGCAUAAUGUUAACACCUUGUUCCAGCACAGCUAUCCCUCUAUCCACAAUAAACAUCUGAAAAGAUCUAUACAUGAUGGUCGACUCCAAAUUUUGCACUCCAUCCUUCAGCUACCUACAAUAGACAUCACUCAGCAUGCAUUUAUGAUUUCUGCCAUCCUUUUAUCCAAUAUUAACCUUACUCUAUCAAUCAAAUAGAAGAGGAGUCCUUGCACCUACUUUGUUUCCUCAUGUCUCGAGUUCUUUCCAAAAAACAACUGCCUGCACACCAUAUCCCUGCCAUCCAAUAGUUCACGAUUUUAGUAUCUGGCUGACAUGCAAUUUCCAGAAAUAUGCAUAAGCAAUUAUUCAACUGUCUCUGAAUUUUUUGUAGUAGUGACCUUGCCCAUUAUAAAGUUGACACCAUUCCCUUUUCCCUUUUGCCUCAUAAAUCAUUUUCUCCAAACUGCAGAUGUAUCAUAAUUGCUUUUAACAUUCUGACAUUUACCCCUUCCGCCUCUACAAUCACAUUUCAGCUUUUCCGCAUACUUUGUCAUUGUAGAUAAUCUUUGCAACUAUUUUACUGAAAUGCUUUAUCAUCCUGUAUGAUUCUUAAGUUCUUUUUCCUCUCUCCCUGCUUUAGUUAAACAUCAUGCCAUCUAACCUCAUGAUUGCUCCAAUUUCUUAUUAUUUUUUGAGUUUUCCAGGGAAAGCUGGCUGAGAUCCUCGUUAACAGGUUAUUCUCCCUUGACUUGCAUCCGUGAUAAAAGGGAAACAUUUAUAUCAGCCACAUUUAAACAGUUCUACAUUUCUGUGAGUAAACACAGAAAUAUCAAAUACAAUGUAGAAUUAGUUUAACAUGAUUUACUGCCAACGAAUUGAAUCCGUGGCUGACUCCCUACCAAAAUAUGCUAGCCAAUCUUUAACUUGUUUGGCUUCUCUGUUGACAUGCUCCACCUUGUUGUCCUUAAACUGUAGCAGCAAAUGGUUGAUGUCUUCUUUAACUGGGUAAAUUCUCCAAGACAUCCUCCAUGUCUCUUACAGUGGUGUAAGUUUGAAAAUAAGUUUUUCAUCCAUUCAGAUUUUAAUGAGCUGAGCAGCUGUUGGACCUCACCCACUCAAGGUAUAUCAAUAAGAUCUUGAAUCUUCAUCAGUAGCUAAAGAUCAUUACUUCAGGAUGAUCUGCAUAUUUCUGAUCGACAUUUAAAUCUACAUAAUCCAGGCCUGAAAAAUGGGUUGGAUAUCAAUAAUAUUAAUAUAUGUAUCCAAUUUUAUUUGGCGAAUAUGAAUAUAGAUGCAGAGACUAAUUGGAUGCUAAACUUUGUAUUGAUAUUUGUUCUAAUGGAUGUUAAUAUGAUUGGGUAUUGACAGUACGGAUACAAAUGCAGGCAUAGUUGGAUAGUUAAACUCAAUGUAUAGAAUGUUAUUUGACUUUAUUUUUUGUUAACUCAAAAUAGGUACCUGAGCUUCCUAACUUCUAUUAUUAUUCUAAAACCAAAAUGAUCUGACAUAAGACCAAAAAAGAAGUAACUGCAUCCACUCAAUCACCUUUUUCUUUUGGUGGAUCCUAAUAUUCUGUUGAGUUACACACUUUGGAUUCAAAUACUGACCGUUAAGGAUGCAAUACACUAAUGCAUAGACAUAGCUAUUUGGGAAAAAGAAGUUUAAACAAUAGACAUGUUGAUGUUAUUACUUAUUCCUUUUGGAGUUCAUGAGAACUAUUUGAGGAGACUAAACAAGGAUGCAAACAAUUAUCAUGAGAGAUAGCAACUAGGAUAGGACAUUUGGAUACGGAUCAGAAAUUCAUGUAUCGAUAUUUGUAUCCAUUUUCUUUGACAAAUACAAAUAUAGAUCUGGAUAUUAGUCAGAUGUAAAAUUUGUGUCCAAAUCUGGAUAAAUUUAGAUAUGGAAAUAGAUCUGGAUGGAUAUUAUGUGAUCCAUUUUGCCUUAACAGGAUCACAAUCUCAUUUUUCAUGAUACAUUCUGCACUUCUAUGAAUACUAUUCGUACGAAUUUUGAAAAGAACAAGGGUAAAUCGGAUCUGUUAUUGUCGAGAUUGUGGCCAAAUACCUCUAGACUGUGGUUAGUGUCUAGAAUUGCAAAAGAUUAGUGAGAGUUCUUUUGAUGUAUGUUGUAGCUUUAUUGAGGUGAUGGAUUAUACCUUAUAUUGGCUAGUUUUAUCUUGAAUCCUGGAGUUGAUUUCUCUUGCCAAUGGUACUAUUUUGGCACAUUUUGGACAACUUGUAUGUUCUACUUUGAAAAUGCUGCAAAUUCCGCCCGCCAAUCUAGAAGAAGAGUGAAAGAAUUCCUAUUUCAAUGCCUUUUCUUGCUAUAUAUUGUUUGAGGUCAGUCCUAUGGCAUAAGAAAUUCCAGCAGCCUGGAUCUAGAUGUUGUGGGGACCGGUAAAAGAAUGGAAACCUAGUAAUAUAUGAUUGAUGGUAGUGAGUUGUACUUAAAAAUGCACAUUUUUGUCAUCAAGUUGGAUGUCCAUGAGCCAGUAUUUAUGAAUAAUGACAGAAGUUUGCCAUUAAUGCUACAGGAUUUUGAUAAUCUUGCAUUAUUUGGCAGCUUUAGGUAUGCAGCGUUGUGCCAAAAGACUUGCAUAAAUGUAAUUAAAUCGGAAUAGAUGAUUAUGUUCGUUUUGGGGGUUUGGAGAUUUUUUAAACAAAUUUUGAUUCCUUCACACUCUAGACAAAUUGAGGAUGAAUUUGUUUUCCAAGUUUGUCUGCUUAAGAAAAAAAAAAAUUUAGGUACUAGGAUUUCUGGGGACGUGGAAUUUUAGCUGAUUUUUUCCCUCUCAGAAAGAGGUGAUACCGUGACAGUGUAAUCUGGUCAAUCAGAAUUUUUUUAAUAAUUUAUUUUUUCUUUGAACUGAGUAAUUCACAGUAAAACAACUCCUUUGCUGAAAUCUAUCUCAUCUUAGGAUUAUUGGUGGCUAAAUUAUUGUUAUAAAGUGAUUUUGUGAUGGCAUGCUUCUUGAAGUGGGGUUUGCUAUAAUAAUAGGGAAAAAGCUUAGGUUGCUUUUUUUUCCCUUUAGUUUCUAAUUUUUAAUUUUGUUCUGAUAAUCCGAUGAGACCCAUUAGGCAACUAGUUCACCUUUCAAAGUGGUCUGCUUUUCUGGAUGAUCUUGUUUUGGCAUAUUGCCCAUUUAUUAUCAGCAGCUGAAUUCAUUUUACGUUUAGUUUUAGAGAAAAUAUUGGACCAACAUUUAAUUAACUUGUAGUGCGAUAGGGGCCUGUGCACCUCUACACAUUCAUUUCUACUGUGAAGUUGUUGUCAUGUUCUUGAUUCAUGCAACCAUGUAAUUAUUGUUCCUUCCUAUAAUUCUUAGUCCACAGUAAUCUAUUGCAUUGAAGUAUCAUUAUGUUAGUCUAUAUGUUUGUUGUAGUUUUCUAAAUAUUUUCUGGACUUCUUUUAUCCACUUCAUUAACCCUUUGAUGUACUUACUACCAGGGUGGAACCAUCUCUAUCUGACGAGGACCAGAAGGAGAGAGCUCGAAGGAGUGAAUUUGUACAGGAGCUUGUGCUCUCUACAAUAUUUGAUGACACAUUAUGAAGGAGUUCUCUACCACUAUGGUGGCUAAAGGGGCCGUUGAGAAAACGCCAGGAUCAUCAGCAAGCUGCGUCAUUGUUGUAAUUGUUGCUUAUCAUCUCCUUUGGAUCAGUGGGAGCAUUUAUUUGAUGGUUGUAUAUUUAUAACUGCCUUAAGAGAGGGAGGAGCAUGGAUUGUAUUUAUACAUUUAACAUUAGUAUCAAUAUCUGAAGCGACUAUUUCUACAACAACAAUCUAUCUAUUUGCGUCAUGUCUGAUUCCUCAUCGAAUUACAGGUUAGAUUGAUUGCUGAUAAGGUUCAUUCUGUUGCUAAGACAUGGUGUUACAAGUUGGAACUGCCAAGCAGCCUUGCUCUUUUUGCUAUUUCUAUCAUCAUUGAUCUCCUCGAGCUCGAGUUUGGGUACUAAAUGUUAGAACUUUACAAAUAGUAAAUACAAGAGCUUUAUUCAUGUGAAAUAUUACUGGAUACGUUAGCUCUCUAAUAUAUGAUAGAUCAACUACUAAUGUGGUUUAUAGCAUGUUAAUCAUGGACCUCAACCAUUUAGUUCCUUUCAUGUUAGUGAUAGUUUUUUUAUCUUUAACUGACUCCCUUUAUUGAUAUGGCCUCCCAAUUGUUAAGGAUGUUACUGUUGCCCAUCUCAGUUUUCUAUUGGGUUUAGAACUCCAAGCUGUUUUUUCUUAUACUUCAAAAUGCAUGCUUUAUAUUAUUCAAGAAUGGAUAAUAAGAUAAUUAUAUUAUUCAAAAAUGCUUUAUAGAACUCCAUCUCGGCACUUAAAACCCUUAGCCAAUGUUAUAAAUUCUAGUCUUACAGGGGUGCCCCAACCAUGUAUUUUAUUCUUGUGAAAAAGUGGAUCUGGAUGGUUAGAGGACUCCAAAACCCGUUUAGAGAUAAAAGAGGAAAGAAUGAGAGGGUGGGGUGUGUGGUGGGAAGGAAAGGAAGGAAGGAAGUGAGAAGUAAAAAAAAAAAACGAGGAAGGAAAGAAGAAAAAAGAAAGAAGGGGAGAAAGAAAAUAUAGAAAAAAAAAUAAGAAGGAUAUGAAUGAAAUAAAAACAAAAAACAAAAAUGAAAGAAAAAAUAAAAAAGAAAAAAAUGAAUGAAAGAAAGGAAAAAAGGAGAAUAAAAAGGAAGGAUAUGAAUGAAAUAAAGAAGUAUGGAAAAAAAGAAGAAAAAUAAAAGAAAUGAAAGAAAUGCAAGAAAAAAAAGGAAACAAAUAAAGGAAAGAAAGUAUGGGACAUUGAAUUUAAAACCUACCCUUAACAUUUGAUAGCCUUUAAAUUAAUGCAUGCCGAUAAACAUUGAUUUGAUAACAUAUCAAAUAAAUUCUCUCUCAAAAAAAUAUAUUAGAUCAAGUGUUUACUUUUUUAAUUUAAGAUUAAAUUAAGUUCCUUUCAUUUUAUUUUGGGAUUGAGUUCAAGAUAUCUCAUCUAUCCACAAUAGCUAUCCAUGCAUAAUGUGUGAAUUGUGAUUAUACAUGCUCCCCGUGACGGUGCAUGCAGCAUGUGGCAUGCCAGCACCAAAUUUAGUAACAUCUCGGGCAUGUUUGACUAAUUGGACAUCUCCAAUUUCAUUCCAAACGAAAAAGUGAAUCCUAACUAUUUGUUUUUUUACCUCCUUUUGAAUUUAUAUAUAACUAGCUAGCAUCCAGACAUAGCUGACCCUACUAGCUACUUAGAUCUUUUCCCAGAGACUAAUUAGAGGCGGCAAUCAGAUUUGGCUUGAAUAUUGGUUAGGUCAAAAUUCUUUCAAUUCGAACCCAAUAUUUUUAUUAAAUAGGUCAAAAUUCUAAACAUAAAUCUAUCUAUUUCACUGAACCCAUGUAUGAAACAAGUUAAACGGGUGAGAAGGUAAAAAAUUGCCGCCCGUGCAUAGACUCGAUUUGUCAUUUUCUCCAAACCAUCCACGUGGAUAUAGAGGAAGCCAUGCGAGGGUUGCCAUGGGAGAGAGAAACCUCCGAACAUGCAGCAAUGGAGGCAUUUCACAGGCAGCUUGCUUAAAAAACCGGCACCUAAAGUUCUCAACCGUCAAAAGUGGCAUACAUGCAAUCGAGCAGUGGGAAUAUAUAUAUAAUAAAAGCAGAUUCACCGAAACCAAAUCGAGCAGUUAUUAAUAAAAAUAAAAGCAGAUUCACCGAAACCGAAUCGAGCAGUGGUAAUAAAUGUAGUAGAUUCAGUGAAAGCAUGUUGAGAAGUGAAAGCAGGAUUGAUGGUUAUAUACACUUUCCUGUGGUCGCCUAUUUCUGGUCAGCUAUCACCGCAUUGCGACACCCAAACUGUUCCAAGGCCCAGAAGACAAUAAUGGCGAUGGGGCCCAGAAGACAAUAAUGGCGAUGGGUGAACAACGCCUCCACAUAGCCAUGCUCCCAUGGCUCGCCUUCGGCCACAUGAUUCCCUACCUCCACCUCGCCUUCGCCUUGGCCACCGCCGGCCACCGCGUCUCCUUCCUCUCCAGCCCUCGUAACAACCGCCGCCUUCCUAAAAUACCCCCUCACCUGACGCCGCUCAUCGCCUUCGUCGACCUCCCGCUGCCCCGCGUCGACGGCCUCCCCGAGGAAGCCGAGGCCACCGUCGACGUCCCCGCCGACAAGGGCCCUCUCCUCAAGAUCGCCUACGACUUCCUGCAGAACCCCGUCAAGAAAUUCCUCGCCGACGAGUCCCCGGACGUCAUCCUCCACGACUUCCUCCCCUACUGGGUCCCCGCCGCGGCGCGCGACUUGGGCGUGCUCCCCGUCCUUUUGUUCGCCUUCAACGCUGCCUCCACCGGCUUCACAGGCCCGCCGGAGGUCCUGGCAGAGGAAGGCCGGAGGAGGCGCUGGCCGUCGCCGGAGAGCAUGACGUCGCCGCCCGAAUGGUUCCCCCCCGGCUCCACGGUGGCUUUCCGCCGCCGGGAGGCGGAGCAGUUCUACUCGGAGGUCUUCACCACGAACACCUCGGGGAUUGCAGACGUCGAACGGUUCCGGCUUGCCGUCGAGGGGUGCACCGCCAUCGCCUUACGGACCUGCCCCGAGUACGAGGGGGAGUACCUGGAUGUUCUCCGGAGGAUCUACCGGAAGCCGGUGUUUCCCGUCGGCCUAAUCCCUCUGGCUACGUCUCCAGCGGCCAGCGCCGAUCGGCACGGCAGGUGGGGCCAGAUAUUCGGGUGGCUGGACGCCCAGCCCCCUAAAUCGGUCGUUUUCGUGAGCUUCGGGAGCGAGUACAAGUUGAGCGAGAGCGAAGUCCGCGAACUCGCCUAUGGGCUUGAGCUCUCCAACGUUCGUUUCUUGUGGGCCCUACGUAGGCCCGCUUGGGUCACGGGCGGUGACGAAGAAGCUCUUCCGAAGGGGUUCGCAGCCCGGACCGAGGGCCGCGGCGCGGUAUGCUUCGGUUGGGCUCCUCAGUUGGAGAUCUUGGCCCAUCCUUCUGUAGGGGGGUCUUUGUUUCACUCUGGGUGGGGGUCUAUAAUAGAGACUCUUCGCUAUGGGAAUGCAUUGAUAGUUUUGCCAAACAUAUUUGAUCAGGGCCUUAAUGCCAGAUUGCUGGUGGAGAAGGGCAUUGCAGUCGAGGUGGAGCGAGGGGAUGAUGGCUCGUAUGACAGGGAUGGGGUCGCCAAGGCCUUGCAAAUGGUCAUGCUUUCCAAUGAAGUGGAGGGAUUGAGAAGAAAAGCAAGAGAGAUGGCAGCUGUAUUUGCUGACAAAGAGCUUCAUGAUAGGUAUUUGAAGGAAUUCAUCAACUUCCUCCUUGGGGCUCGGCUCGCAACAAAUCAUUGACUUGAAGCCAAGCACUUACUGUUUUAUGAUCUUAUUGGAUGUAUCCUAUCCGUACUAGAACUAUAUGAAUCAUCGUCUUAGCAAACCUUUUUUUACCUAGGAGGAUGUCGGGAUGCCCAAAGAAUAUCAUAGCUAUAUCAAAUAUGAUAUUACCAAAUAUUCUCUUUUGAAUGGCUAAGUAGGUUGAAUUUUGCAUGCCCAUGCGAUAUCUUGGCCAUCAUCUUUGUUCAUCAAGUAUCGGAUAAUAACAAAAUAUUUCUUGGUUGUAACCACUGGUUCGGAAUAGAAUACUCAUUUACUAUUCUACAGUUGUAGUCGUGUGAUCAUAACAUUCCCCUCCCUUAGGAGCGGAAUGAUUUUGUAACUACCGAACAGAAUACUCUUAUAGUUGUGGCUAUGUGAACUUAUAUAUAUAUAUAUAUAUAUAUAUAUAUAUAUAUAUUAGUUACUAGUAAUAAUAAUAGUAUAAGUAACGUACUACGUUACGUUUACNNNNNNNNNNNNNNNNNNNNAUUUGUUACUGGAAAUAAUAAUGAUAAGUAGCCUAGCUUUUAGUUCCAUUCUUCGCAUGAUAUCGCCCGGGGGUUGGAGGAAGUUUUGAGUGACAGCACCUCAUUGCCGUGGCUGGAGCCGUGUAUGUUUACUCUUUAGGUGCCUUGCAAGGUCAACAGAAUUCUAUAGUUUGUUUGGAUUUUUUUGUUUGCUGUUAAUAGUUAUUGCAACUCUACGUGCAAGAUUUUUAUAGGCCUAAUCUACGGCUGAAGCUGGUAGCUAGACCGAGCCUAAUCAAUAAUUUCUUAUGAUGAGGCAGUAUCUUAGGAGAGAUUUGCAUCAAAUAAAUUAUAUUUUUUGUUCCAACACAACAAAGAAGCUAUGCUACUGAAUUUUUUUUUAUCAAAUACUCUGUUUCAUUUUCAUUUACAUUACUACUUUUCUAGAAAAAUCUUAUGGUACGUGAGGCUAUAUAAGUGUCCGCACGGAUCUUCGCAUACGUUCUCCGUUCAAGUCCUGACGUCUUCGUCCGACUAAGGAUUUAAAUCCAUUCAAAUCUAUUCAUAAACAUCAUGAUUGGCCAGGUCAACCCCAAUGGAAUGUGCUGCAGUAUUCCUUAAUUCACAUAGGUUAUAAGCUAGGUCCGCUUUGAUAUCAUUUAUCACAACAUAGGACCUCACCCAAAAUGUCUAGACAAAAGAUAUUAUUUGGGUUGCUUAAUCCUGUAUAAGUACACAUAAAAUAUUCAGCAAAUAAUUGAUAUGAGACUAAAUACACAUCUGCACAAAUCCUUAAAAGCCAGCACUGUGCCGUAGCCGGUUACAGAAGCAUGUGCGUAUGUGAAAACGACCCGCACAUGCAUGAUGUGGAACAUGUGGGGUGCCUUCGCUGUGCAAGCUCACUUGGUAAGUUAGCGUACAUUUAUUGGAUGUCUGCAUCAAAUAAAGCCGUAAUGUUAGACUUUCUUUCUUUUCUUUCUUUUCUUUCUUCUUUUUUUUUGCUACAACGAGUGAUUUAUACAACACGUGUACGGAUGCACCCAAUAAAGUCGGAAAACAAAAUAUCACGGACUCCCGAGGUAGCUCCCCAUCCCCUGCCCACGAGGUGCUGCUGUCAGCGUGGUUGGCCACGUAGGUAGCCACCUAGUUCGCAGCUCCAUUGGCUUCUCUAAACACAUGCUUAACCUGGACAACUCCUCUAUCCCUCAUCAUCAUCUAGAUAUCACAAAGCAGUGGAUGAUCACCAGCAAUGACCCUCAGACCCCCUGGAUCUAGCCGAUGACCGUAGCUGAGUCACCCUCCAAGAUGACCGAACUAGCUGAUAGCACAUGCUGAGCAUGUUGGAGACCUGCUCAGGCAACCUUAGCUCCGCACCAGAAACCAUGUAGUCAAAUAACUGGCAGCCUCCCGCUGCCACAACCCUAGAGUUUGGGUCCGUAAUAACGAAACCCGCUCUGCCUUUUGUGCCUUUAUCCAGCACCGACCCAUCGAAAUUGACCUUGAGGAAGUUAGGAGGUGGGAGCUCCCAGUGAAGAACACCAUACAGAAGGUUGCCGAGGCAGAAUAGGAACCCCAGAUAUCCCGAGCUGUCAAAGGCCCUUCUAAGAAGGAAGCAUAACUAAUCUCUACCAUCUGCACCCGGGCGGUCUUCGCCACGAGCCUUGGCGACAUACGAUGCUCACCGAAAGUUCGAGCAUUUUUUGUCAGCCAGAUAUGGUAUACUGUGCAGGUCGCUCUAACCGCCUCUUGGCAUGUCAGUGGGUUGCCCGACUGCUGACGGAUGGUCUGUAAGAACUAGUCCCCCUCGGACCCCCUCCUGCAGCAACCCUACAGCACGCUAGGUCACCCUUACCCAUGUGCACUGAAACAGUGCAUGGUCCACCGUCUCAUUGGCCCCGCAAACCCCACACUCUGAGGGAAUCCUUAAUCCUCGUCCGCUGGCUCUCAUCGGAAGCCGAUCCCAGACCACCUUACAUAAGAACAGUGCGACCCUCGGGUGGAGGCCCAUGAGCCAGAUCCAAACACACUCCAGACCUAGCUCAUGCUCCCUCCGAAGCACGCGGGAGAGCUCCCCCACCCUAACACCGGUCCUACUCAAGGUGUUUCGUACUCGAGUAUCAGAACCUGCACACCCUGGUAUCGGAAGAGAUCGGACCCUCUCAGCAAGGUGUGUCCCAAACAGAUGACCCAACCUAGCCUCAUCCCAAGCUGCCCUGCCAAGGUCGAGGAGGUCGUAGACCCGCAGUCCCUUCACUACCUCGAUGUCAACCAUAGUCGGCCAAAGUCUUAAGGAGAGGGCACCCACCCACGGGUCACUAACCACAUCAAUGUGCCGCCCAUCACCUAUCAACCAUCUAGUAUUCUCCACAACUGUUGGCAGAUACCUCGCAAUCACUCGCCACAUGAACGAGCAUCUGCGCCCAUUCCGGAUCACUCCUCCAUACAGGUCCGGCCAUAUCUAGCAGCCACGGUCUAACUCCAGAACCUCUGAGGCUCCAGCAUGAAUCGAACAACAUGUCGGACAAUCAACGCCUCGUGCCUCUCCUGAAGAGAUAAUACACCGAGGCCGCCCUCACUCAAUAGUAGGCAGACACUCUCCUACGCCACUAAGUGCAUCCCAUGACCCCCUCCAUACGACCCUCACAGGAAGCUCCGAAGUAGCCGCUCGUCCUCAUCAGCACUGUCUUCGGAACCACCGUGUUAGGUUUUCUUUGUUAGCCGUAAUGAGAAGCUCUUAAAGUUCGCUUGGGCGAUGACUACGAUGAAAUCGCUAUCAGAAAGCUAGUUCAAAACUAAGGCCCUUCCCCGUCAAAGUCCACUAUCAACUAUUGAAAAAAUAUUAUUUACAAAUUGCAAUAUCAUUAUCUUAUAAUAAUUCAUAAAAAAAUAAAUUUAGAAGUUUGAAAAGAUCUUGUCUAGAUCGAGAAGUGUAAAUAAUAAUAUUCUAAAAACAUGAUUCAUCUCUAGGUGCGGGUCUACAACAAUCUGGAUCAGCCCGAUCCUCUUGACUGAUCCUUUAAGAUUAUCAGAAAUAAAAAAGAUACAAAGUAUAAAGUUGAAAGAUGAAAAAAUUCUCUAGAAAAACUUUUCGAAAGGCAAAGAAGUAGUGAGAAAAAGAGAGAUCGAAUUAUUUUUGAAUUAAUUCCGGAAGAAAAACCGAAGUAAUAUUUUGGAAAUACUAUAUUUUUUUCGGGAACUAACAUUUUUUUUAAGAGUUCUAGUUCUUCUGAAAAACGCAUCUCACAAAAAAAUAUUUUAAAAUAUUUAAAACAACUAAAAUUUAGAAGAUAAGAAAAUUUAAUUUUUUAAAAAUUAAAACUCCAACAUCAAUUUUAUUAAAGGUUUGAUUUGAAUGUUAGGUUCAGCUGCACUAAGUGCCACUGCAGAGAUUCACUUAUAAUGUUGCAACAAAAUUACGUUAUCCUAGGCUUUUAAAAAGUAAUUAUAUUAUUUCGCCUAUGCUAAACCUUUUCUGAGUGUUUCAAUGUUUUAAGUCAUAAAACACGUAGGGUCCUUGGUUAUCCAUGAAAUGAGUGCACAAGUGAUUGCGUAACACACAAAUCUCAUGUCUAGAUUUCCUAUUGCACAUUUCAACUGGCAACCCAAAUCUUAUUUGGCAUAAUAUAUACGCGAGAAAAUAGACACGGAGAUAGUAGCCCUUUUUCUGCAUGAUUUCCGUAUUACUCGGUAAUUUUUUAGCUAAACAUGAAUUACUAAAAAAAAAGGAAGCGAUGCAUACGAAGGACAACUAAUGACACAUUAUGUAGUGGUUUAAUAUCUCAUGUACUUCAAGAUGAGAUGUGUGGUGAACCUCCUCCUUAAUCAUCGUAUUUUAAUGAAGGCAAAGCCUAUCAAUCCCAGAUAACAAGCAAUAAUUCGCACAAAAUCAUAAUCAUUUAUUGAUUCAAAAAUGUGACUGCUGAAGUGCCAUUAUCUUUUUUUUUUAUAUCACCACAUCAUUACAUUAGCGAGAAGCAAAGCAAUGCAAAUAUCACCACUUAUUUCGUUUUAUCUCAUCGACUGGUUUCAAGGACAUUUUCCAUGACAUAAAAAGAGAAUAUGCAUGGGAAUGAUGCUGAUCAGGAUGAAUGAUAUUUCUAAAAGUUAACCAAAAAGAUAUUCUCCUGACAAUGAUAAGGGGAUUCCCACUAUAUCCAUUUCAAAAGAUUACUUAGAGAUCUGAUGGCAUAUUUUCUUACAUGGUUGGUGUCAUAUCACAAACUUUUUUUUUUUGGUGAAACAUGGGGAUGAUGAUGCUGAUAACUCUUUCUAAAAGCAAACCAAAAAAAGAUUAUUCUCCUGACAAUGACCAGGAGAUUCGCAAUAUCUACUUCCUCGAAAAAGCUCUCACUCACUUGUUGAUAAAGCCCGAAGAACCCCAGUGAAAGCCAAGUAAAGGCGCUGGAAAAAACGAAAAAGCUCGAAAAGUCUCGACCAAAGCUCUCCACUUGGUGCAGUACCCGCGAACAAACGUCUUUCCUCCCCCUUUCCUCUCUUUUUACCUCGUCCCCCGAAAUUAGGGUUAGGGUUUCGGAUUCCCCACCCUCCUCUCCCUCCGCCGACGACUCCAACGAAUUUAAUUCGAUCGAGAUGGGGUCCCUUUGCUCUCGUCAAUCACCGCUCUCCCCCGUCCUUCGCCCCCUCUUCCUCCCUUCUUCCUCGCACCUUCGCCAGUACGAGUAUUCCCCGCGCACCUACCCCGCCGAUCCCUCCUUUUUCAAAGAUUUUGUUGGAAUUUGGUAUAUUGGUCGGUAUUUCGUACAUUCGAUCGAAGCUCGCAGUGAGAGAAUCUCUGGUUUGGAUGGUUCCUCGUCCCGACCGAUUCCUUCGAUAAAAGAAAGUAUUUUAUUUAUUGGCAUUUGUUUUAAAAAAAGGAUCGGAAUCGUGGCUUUAUUAGGGGCUCCGACGAGACUUUUAUCCCCCGGUCGUGCUGCUGACGAUUCGAGGAAGCUUCGUAGCUGCUUCGCAGCAAGCUAUUGUCUUGUGAUUCCAUAUAUAGUAAUGAUUCGGACAUUUAAUUGAACCACAACGGUUGAGAGUGUCGGUUUUCGGGUUAGAAAGGGCUUUUGGGAGCUUGUGGAGCUGCCUUGCUCCCUUGAUUUCCUCGUGAUGGAUCGGAAGAGGGCCUAUCCGGAGGAAGGGGAGGACGACGGAGGAUCUCUUGUUAAGGAUACAAAGCGACGGCGAACCUUUCUUAAGUGAGUGAAUAGUUUGGGAGUUCUCUUAUCUUGUUUCUUUAUUACUAAGUGAUUGAUACUUGUUGUCUUAUGGGUUUUUUUUUUUUUGGCAGUUCAAUGAGAGAAGUAAUGGGGGCGAGUUAUAUACAGCGGCAUUUGCCAAAGUUGGAGCCUUUUCUUCGCAAAGUGGUAAGAUAAGUCCUGCUGUCAUUUUUGCAAUGCUUAGGAAUUCUACAGGAUCGGAAUCCUUUUCGAAAGUUCUUUUUAAGUAAGACUUUAUUAGGCUGUUAGCUGACUUCAGUUUGUGCGCAGAAUCAUCAUUGUAUUUAAUCCUUGUGUUGUUGUUCAAUUUCGUGUAGCUUCGUUUUGCCAUGUUGGCCCUUCUAGGUUAUCAGUGGAACCUCCCAGACCAUAUAAAUGUGGGCUACCUUGGCUGAUCCUUUCUACUUUGAGAAUGUUUGUUUUAAAACCCCCCACUUUUUUACCUCCCAGUAGCAAAGGUUGAUUCCUGCUUAAAGUAUUCAUGUUAUGUUCUAAUAUACUCCUCUGGUGACACCAUCUGUAUGAUGUAUUUAACAUCCAUAUGAGUUUGUGUCUCAUGGAUUCUUGCGAUUUCUGUACGGAUUUUUGAGGAUUUUUGAGGUGAUGCAAAUCCUUGGGAGCUUCCAAAGAGAGCUUGCCUUGCUUCUUUCAGGUUUUUGGGAACCAACAGUCCGCCCCACACCCUCCAGGGUUUCUUUCAUUUUGGUGUGGCACCAUAUUUAUCUUCCUUAUAUUUUUUUCAAAGUUAUUCCAUUUGACUUUCACUGUGAAACGUACCCAUUUGUAACAUGCUUUAGUUUUGGUUUCUUACAUGAGUAGAAGUGAUACUUGCAGCAUUUUAGAAUAAUUGAAACUAAAUACAGGUUUCUUUCACUUUUUCUAUUAUAACACAUAUGUAAUCGCAUUAAAGUUUGUUGUGAAAAAUGUAAAUAUUAAAUUAAUUACAAAUCUGGUAACUCUUAAAACAAGUGAAAAAUCAUGAAUUAUUAGCAUAUUGUCCAUGAUCUAUUCUCUCUCUCUCUCUCUCUCUCUCUCUCUCUCUNNNNNNNNNNNNNNNNNNNNCUCUCUCUCUCUCUCUCUCUCUCUCUCUCUCUCUCUCUCUCUUGUUGCCUAAUUUCUUUGAAAUCUUUCUUAAAACCUGUAUAUGUGGUUUGUUUUUCAAUUUCAAAUUUGUAACUUCCCUAAGAUUGUCUGAAAUUUCUACCGGAAUAUGUCUUCUUGCCAUUUUUUAAUUUAAAUUAUCAGAAGUAGUGAGGGGACCUACAUAUCAACCUUGUCGCUAGUAGUUCGUUACUUGCUUAUGUACUAUAAGCAAGUGUCCAUAACAUUGUUGAUUCAGGACUAAGAUUCAAAAAUCAGGCCUUGAUUGUGUUUCAGCUGGCCAUAUGAGCUUUGUUUUCUAUGAAUUUGCAUGAUUUUUUAUCCAGUUUAGGCCAAAAAUAACAAAUAGUUUAAACAAUAAAACAAGCAGGAAAAAAUAAGAGAAGUAUAAAGUUUUAAGAUAUGCUUUAUUGUUCAAACUGGUAUAAAUACGUCCAGUGGUUUAUGAGCUGAAACUAUGCACUAGUCAUUAGAAAAUGAAAAAAAUAGUUAUAUGCUCAUGCAUUACAUCAUAUUAGACUAUAUUAUAUAUAUUCUCUUGGUUGAGGACAAUCAUAUAUGAGACAUCCUAAACAUCAAUAUAAGAUUUGAGCACAGGCCUUGCAAUCUCAAGCUAAAAUCUUGCAUUUUCAUUUCUGAUAGGCUUGAUCUACUUCGCAACUUUCAGCUCAAACCUUGCUAAUUCUUUACCAUCUGGCUUUGUGUGAGGAUUAUAUUAUUUGGUUGGUCUCUAAUGCCUUCUGAACCAACAAUGGUGGUGUUAUGUAGAAUAGAGAUAAAAGAAAACCACCAACUUUCUUAGAAUGGAAAUAUCAAGGCAUUUGUUUAUUAUUAUUGUUGUAACAGUUCUCCAGGUAUUACUGCAAGUUUUUUUUUUGAUGUUGCCAAUCAUCUUUUGUUAGAGACUUCCAAGAGAUAUUAGUAUAUUAAAACUUAACUGACUGCCUCAAGCAACAAUGCUAAAGAAUAUAGCAAUCUUAAGGAUAUGCAGAAUCUAAGGGAAACCUUAUAUAUUAUAUUCUUAAGUGGUAAAUGAAGGCUAAGAACUGUAUUUAAUCCUGACAUACGGCUGCUUAGAACUCAAAGUAGUUGAGCAGAUCACACAACACACGCAAACUAAAAAAUGAAAAAAGAACUAAAAAGGAGUUUUGAGCACCGAACUAUGAUUAUGGGAGUAAACAUAGUUAAGCAGUAUAAUUAGCAUUUAUCUUCAUGAUAAUUUUGCGAGUUGAUAUUGUUAGUAUUUAUUAUUACUUAAAGCUAAUCCUUUGAGCUUCUGGCAUAUUGAAUUCUUUUUGUGGAAAAUCAGGUGCAAGAAGAGGUGCAAAAUGCUCUUUACCGAUAUGUACUCUUAGCUCCAAGGUAAAUUUUGAAAAUCCUUUUUGGGGUUUGAGGCUCGAGCACUGUAAACCCUUUCCCAGUUGCCCAAUUUUAUAUUUUGCGGUUAAAUCCAUCAGAUGGAUUCGUAUUGUUCAUGACAUCUGAUGCUUUGAAUCCAUGUGUGAAUAAUUAUGAUGUCAUGAAUAUGAUGCAUAAAGGUAAAUCCAUAUGUGAAUAAUUAUGUAUCCAUAAAACAUUUUUGUUUGGAAAAUAUUAGUUCUUUACUCUUUGUUUCCUUAUAUGAAAGGAAAAUUACUACAAACCCCACCCAUAUAGACAUAAAGAGGUAAAACUAGUUCGCCAGAGUAUUUGAAUAAUUGUUUUUAUAUGAAAGCUACUAUCUGACGCUGUAAACCUAUUAUUUUGAUGCUCGCCAUUUCCCAUGUCAUGCACGUGCAUGCAUAUUAACAUAAUUGUUGGUUAUACAUAUUGUGGUGCAGCAAAAAAUUGCUUGUUUGACAAAUUUUUAGGACUAAAUGCUUUUUAAGCCAUUUGGAUGUUCUAAUUUGUGUAUUUGUGUUGUGCGUGGUGUAGACUGCCCCUAAACCAGAUCCCACCCACUGCUAGCAGGCAAUAUCGGCUGCAUUUCCAAACUAGUGUGCCUGAAACACUGUUCACAGGAAGCAGAAUAGAAGCUGAAGGCAGAAAGCCUGUUGAAAUUGUCAUCAUCGAUUCUGAAUCAAAUGAGAUUAUCACAUCUGGCCCACUAUCUGCAAUCAAGAUUGACAUUCUUGUUCUUGAUGGUGAUUUUGGUGCUGAUGGAAAAGUGGAAUGGACCGAAAAGGAGUUUGGUGACAGUAUAGUACGUGAAAGGGAGGGUAAAAGACCAUUAUUGACAGGGGACCUGGUAAUUACUCUGAGCAGUGGAGUUGGUCAUCUUGGUGAUGUCACUUUCACUGACAACUCCAGUUGGAUAAGAAGCCGAAGGUUCAGGCUUGGUGCGAGGGUUUCUCAAAGCAGAUGCACUGAAAAAGCAAGAGUUCAAGAAGCAAUAAGUAUAGCUUUUUUGGUGAAGGAUCACCGUGGAGAAUGUAAGUCUUCUCCUGUCUAAGCUCAACUGUUUGAAAUUUUAUUUAGGAAAGUGAUUGAAGCUAAAUUUAUUUGAGUGACAAUGAGAGCAGACAAGAGCUUAUGUCGGCAUUAUAUGCCAACAAGCAACAUAAAUACCACGUGCCAUAAAAAUUCACCAUUGCAAAUUAUAUACUGGAGUAACACUGCUAUUAUAUGUACAUGCUGCAUCUGCAGUUCAGUUGAUAAGAUAGCUUUUGGACUGAUCGCAGAUAAGCUCUAAUAAAGCUUGAGCUUUUACAGAGGGUGUGCCAACGCUUGGUACGCCGAACCGGCUCUUGUACUGGGCGUACCAAUAUAGUAAUAGGGUGGCACCGGUAUGAAGGCCGGCUCCGAGACGGCAUACUAGAAUUCUUUGCUUGUUAUUCUAAUUGACUUUUGCUGCAGCUAUUUCUUAAGAAUAUAUUCUUAGCUGUACCAAAAUUUAUUCUUAUGAAUGAAGUAUCAGAAUAUUGAAUCUGGAAUACAUAUUAUAUAGAAUCUUUUGUGUCAUCAUUUUUUCUUAGUUUUAGCUGUCUAAACCUCAUCUGUUGAUUUUACAUCUGCAGAAUGCUUUGCGAUUUGAUUGUUUGCAGUUAUGCAUAUGAAUUAUAUUAUUUGGACCUUGUUGUUAUUUCCUUUUCUUGCCAUUCAUAAUCAGCUAUGGCAUGCCAAACACCUAAUUGCAUAUCUAGGUAUCAGGACUUGACAUUUGUCGUCAUUAGGUUGAUCAAAGAGGAUGGGAACUGAGAAAAUUUAAGUGAAACAUUUAUGUGGAUAUUAUCUGCCUAAUAUAUAUACCUUCUAGUAUAAUAUAUUUGUGCAACUGCUUGGUAUUGACUAUUGAGUCAUCUUCCCAAUAAUGUCAUGGUAUGCGCAUGCAUUAGAUUUUUGAAGGUUAUGUAUAGCUUUUUGUAUCGAAUAUGGAACUGCCGCUGCUAUUACCAUCUUGUCAUGCUCCGAUUUAUCAAAAAUUUAAAAGUUCCUUCUCUAUAAGUGCCAUAUGUGUAUGAUUGGGGUAAUAUUUUUUCUUUUUUAGCCUGAAAGUCCUUUCCUGUGAUCUGCUUAAAGACACAGAUAACCUUGAAACCAAUUUUAGAAAAUUAUUUAAUUGGAUGUAAAAUUAACGAUUGUUUAAGAUAGGUAUUCAUAUAAAACAUUUUGUUGGCAUGGCCCAGUUCUGGCAUAUCUUACAUAAAUUCGUGUUACUCUUCACUGUAUGCCAGUAGCAUAUGCUUUUAAGAGUUCUCUUUUGUCCUAAAAGAAAACUAAUUACAUUCAAAACUAAUUCUGUUCUAACUUUAUUCUAAUUUCAGUGUAUAAAAAGCAUCAUCCUCCUUUUUUGGGGGAUGAUGUGUGGCGUCUGGAAAAGAUAGGUAAAGAUGGUGUUUUCCAUAAAAAGCUUGCUGACAAUGGGAUCAACACUGUCCAAGACUUCUUAAGGAACUUGGUUAUGGAUCAAGACAGACUACGCAGUGUAAGAUAGCCAUAUUAAGUAGUUCUUUUGAGAGAUAUCCAUGCACAAAUUUAUAGUGCUAACGUUCUUUGCUUCCUUCCUGUAGUUCCUUGGUAGUGGGAUGUCAAACAAGAUGUGGGAUGCAACAAUUGAACAUGCUUGGGAUUGCGUUCUAGAUGACAAGAUUUACUCCUACUGCGAUGGACAGGGAAUCAUGCUUCUGUUCAACUCUGUAUAUCGGCCUGUAGGGGCAAUGCUUCACCAUAUUUUUUACCAGUUAGAUGAACUUCCUCCAACUCAUAAGGUAGAUUAUCAUGAUCCAGAAAAUUUAUGUUUUUGUCAAGCUAUUUACAUAAAUCUGCUAACAAUUUUUUUAACCAUUGUUGUCUGACCUUUUACUUUACGCAGCAUCUGUUUACUCCCCCUUAAUUCACUUAUGACAAACUUCCUUAAACCGGUGCUUGUGCCUUUUGGUCUUGUAUAUUGAAUUUACAUUACUAAUAUAUUCAGUUUUUCAUUUUGCAAUAUGGCUAUACUGCACUACUUAGUCCCGCAGUAUACGUUGGUUGGGGCCAACCUAUGCUGAUUAAUCGGUUUAAAGAAAUUCUCACAAAGAGACUCGACUGGCAAAACUUGAUCCUGCAUGUUUUAUGCAGCGGUCCUCAGCUUAUAGACCAAGUGAUGCAUCCAGGGAAACUUGAAAUGGCACUGUGCAGUGGAUACUAGUUCUUUCUCCAGCUUGUUGUGCCUUCUAUAAAUUUCUGCAUUCAUUUAAAAAUAAAUUUUCUUAUUUGUAUGCAGGCAGUGGUGAACAAAUUAAAACAAGAUGCGUAUAGAUUCCCAAACCAUAUACUCGAGUAUCGUGAACAACUGCUUGACAAUCGACCCAGACUGUUACCUACCGUUCCAGCGUCAAGCAUGUUGGACCCACAGAUUCGCAACCUCCCUGCCACAAAUCAAGGUAAGUGGAAUCAGAGCGCUUGAUGAGCCCGUCUCGUCCUUCACUCUUAGGCCUCCUUCAUAUUGUGGCCAUCCACUGAUGUCGUGACUUUUGACAGAUGAACCUUCUGAUCAAGUGUGCCUUCUGCAACGCGCUAGCUCACCAGGAAAUGAAUUCUUUGAAGAGCUAGCCCCAGGGAGAGACAUGUUUACUUCUGGGCAGUUCGCUCAUAUGGUUCAACGGCUGGAUUCCUUCCCACCAAAUAGUUUCGGCAUGAGGGAUUUCUGCGAUAUGCCGUGUGGCAAUUUCCAGAUAAGUGGGUCAGCCGGGCCUGCCGUAACAAGCGAGCACAUGAUGGGAUAUGCUCAAGAGGUUGGUACGUUGAGCUCUUCUCCCCGUCCCUUGCUUUGGGAUCAUAGUAAUUCCUUAAUUCAGACAUCAAUUGGCGAAACAAGUAGAAGCUGUGCACCUCGCAUGUCUGCUGUUGGUGCUCCCAUUACAUCAAGCAGAUGGAUCAAGCUAAUAGCAGCUCUGAAAUGGUUAGCAAUUUCGAGGCGCAGUGCUGCCAGAAGGGCACAGUCUCUGGAUAUCGAUUACCCGGCAGCAACUAUAGGUACAUGGAUUGAUGCACGCGGAAGAGGCUGGUGAGGUGGAGGGCGUCAUGGCAAGUUCAUGCAAAACACUUUCACGUUCGUCUUGAGAGCUUUGAACCAUGCUUGAGAUGGAGCCGAAACAGAGGAACUCAGUCUCUCUCCUGCAGAGGAACCUUUCUUAGAACUGUUUGUCAUGUGGCAGUAAAUUAAUUUAUUUAACUUGUUCAGUUUCUGUAUAUUGGAUAACCGUAGUGUAGGGGAGAAGUAGUUUUAGCUUGCGACUGUUCUUGGAUCUGCACAUAAGUUGUGUGUGUCAUUCAGUAUUUAUAUGUUCAACUGCUUUUAUUUGUCAGCACACUCUUGUUGGAGCUCUUUUCGCCUUUUUCCCGAGUUGUUCCUGCCUUCCUUGGACUCCACUUUGUUCUAUGCUUUGUCGGACUGCAAAUCAUAUGUAAAUAGGGAACGAACUGUGUCGUUUCAAGGGUCACCAUAGUUCUACGCCACCCCCCCCCCCCCUCCCACCGGGGUAGAGAGUCAUCAUGACUAGCGAAGAGAAUAGGAGGAAAUGGAGAAAUUUCUACGCCACAUUCCGUGAUGCUCUUCAUCGCUGUCCGUCCAUCUUACCAGCUCGCAUUAUUUCAGUAGGUGGCAACUCUUUGGGUUACUCGCAAGGCGUGAACCAACAUGACGUGCUAAAAAAGCACGGGAAUCCCUCCCGCAUAACGCCAACUCUCUCGGCCUCGGCUGCAAGGGAUGUCGCUCAUGGAUUCCUCUCUUCUUCCCACUUUCCAAGCUAAUUCGGUUCCCAUCGAGCCCUAUAUUUCUGGUGCUGGCUCAUUGCAAGCCGCAUCCAAGAGUGCUUAUCCACCAUGGCCAUGACGCUUGCUGAUUUGUGCCACUGCCACAGAAUCCCCCGGAGCUCCGACGUCAGCAUCGGGCUGGCCUUGUUCCUCGUGGUUCUAUCCGUGGUUUGUGGCCUCUUCACCUUUGUCUUAUGCCUCGCUGCCGAGGGCUCUAGGACUGAGGUAACAAUUAAAAUAUCCCAUGUGAUGCACAGAUUCUCCCCGGUUAAUUAUGAUCAUGAUAGCCGUAUUUAAAUCUGGUUAUUAACUUUCCUCUGAAUGCAUAAAGUCUGUAUCACCCUGUGACUCAUCAUGAAUACAUUGUCAGGCCACCCGGUAUAUCCUGAGCAACUGGGGUCAUGGCAGCGACGCAUCUGAGUGCAUCUACGACGCCAGUGGUCUCCGACCACUGGCGUUUGCUGUGGGUGCAUUCCUGUUGCUUGUGGUGGCCAUGUUCGCAGAACUUGCCUACAUGUUGGUUGUCAUCACAAGUCCUCAACCGCCGACAUUGGUAAUACCCUCGCCAGCUCCAUCAACGGUAAUGCUAACCUCGACAUCACGCAUAAGAACUCUUGCACGGCAGGCCCGUUUCCUUUUUCUCGCAACUUGGUAAGCAGAACCUUCAACCAGUGCAUCAGAAUUCAAAAUGCACCUAUCAUCAAUACACUGCCAUAGCAUCCAACCAUCGAAGCCUGCAUGCAGAUGUGGUUUGAGUGCGUUAAACAGGGCAUUGAAACCUCGACCCUUUGUAUUGUACUUGCAGGAUCAGUUUUGCCAUUGCUGAGGUGCUUCUGAUGUUUGGUAUGGCCGUGGAAUCAAGUCAUAUAUGCCAAUGGACAAAGCCAAGGUCCAGCUGCCAUGUAGUUCGACCAGGGUUAUUUGCAGCAGCAGGAGUUCUUGGAUUUCUAACGGUCCUCCUUGGAAUCGCCCUGUAUCGGACACAAACAUGGCACCAAUAUGCGCACAGGCGCCCAACACCAAGCGCACCGCCAGCACAGUGAGGGCAAAUGAAAGCCAGCCCCCACAAGAGACUCCGUCACCCCGACAAGACCUCAACAUCAGCAUCACUUGAAAUGGAUUUUGGGUAAUUACACAACCAUGUGCCCUGCAAUCGUUUCGCUGUAAUUGGAUUCAGUAUAAUCCAUUAUUUCACUACUUCAUAAGCUUGGAGCCCUCAAAACCAAAAGCCUGAGGCUGCCGAGCGCAUAGACAACAGGAUUUUCCUGCAAAAUAACACUACUAUGCCAUGAGUAUUCCAUACAAAUUUCCGAGUGGUUAGCGAUCAAACUAUCCCAAUCUGAGAGUGCACUGGAGUUAGUUCACCACCAAACAAUAAAGUGGCAACUUACAGAAAGCAUCAAACAGCUUAUUCAGCUCACUUUUUACAUGUUACCGGCAAACCACCCCAAGUAACCGAAUACUUGCAUUGCUUGGAGAGAGCAUAAAAAUAUUUCACCAUUCUUUUCGCCUGGACACUGUCGACUGGCUUAGUCGUUUUCCUUCCAUGGCGUCCUUCUUUCUCCUGCACUCAACACAGAGGUAAGGGCCCUCAGAUGAUCUUGACGUGGGUGAAAAGUGUGUGCCCGCAGUGGCAGAUAAACCCUCAUUUGGUGUUUGAUCCAUUUGGCAUAUUGCACACCGGAAAGGUGAUGAAUUCGCCUUCAAUGGGAAAUUUUUCCCCAAUCUACAUGAAAGCAGGUUUAGAGUGAGCAUCUACUCUAACGCACAAAUUGACAAUCAUAUUAUGCUGAACAUAAAUGGAAACCAUGCUAGGGUCAAGUGAAACCAGAUCCCCUGGUUGACUGGACACUCAACAACACAAAUAAUAAUCUUAAAGUCUACAAAGAGGCUUUUGUCACAGAAAAAAUCUACUUGUAAAGUCAAAUAUACUGCAACGAUGACUAACACACAGUAAAUUUUCAUCAAAUCAACCACAUUCAUUCGAGUUACGAUACAAAAUAGUUAUACGUUAAUCAGUUAAACUAGGUUGAUAAAUUAACUUUCCAACCAGAGCUAGCAGUUGUUGGCAUCUUCCAUAUUACAUCACAAAGAAUUUCUUGGCCCUCUUUGUAUGCACCGAGAUUCCUCUUUCAAGCUUUCAAUAAAUUGAGUUGACCCAUUUACAUGAUCACAUUUGCAAGUUCAUUAUACAAUAGCACCAUCAAAAACUCAGAGAGAAGAAUAGGACCUAGAGCCACCAAAGUCCAACUUGAUAUCCUUCAAUGGUUCAACCUUUAGCAUGAAUGAUGCAUAGAAAGAGAAAUGAGCAAGACAUCUCUGCCAGAUGGGCAUCUCAUUUGUUAUACACAUAUACAUGGAUCUUCCCAAUGAUUUUGUUGAAAUAUGGAUACAGAUUACCAUAUUACAAGUUUUGGGGAAUGAGAUGUGUGACAUCAAAAUUUAAAGGAUGACUAUAAAAUGAUAGAUGACCUUAUUGACAAGAUUAAGAGUAAUAAAAAUGUGUAGCUAUGGUGCUGUCCUGAAAGCAACAGUAGGCAGGAUCAAAGAUUUGAGAGAAUAUACCUCAGAAAAAUUAGAGCCUUCUGGUCAAGAUCAUAAAAUAAACUUCAAUUGCAGCUCUCUGGGAAUCUAGGAUACUUCAGAAAUUUAGCAGUGGAAAGAAGUGCUGGUAAUAUGGUUCAUACAGUGCUUUCACACAAAACAAUUUAGUGUUUCCACACAAAACAGGUACUUUCCAGAAUCUAAUGUUUUCCACAUAGAAGAGGUGCUUUCCAGACAAAAGAGGUGCUAGUAAUAUGAUUCAUGUAGUCCUUUUCCACACAGAAAAGGAAAGUUUGUACCUUUAAAAAUUUAAGACACAUGCCAAAGAAUUAUCGGAUGUAAGGAGGGGGAAUUACCAAAAAGACUUGCAACUUCAGGCAAACAGUUUGGGCAGUUGGCUCACGAAUAGGCGAUGUCAUUGUUGUGAAAUCGCGAACAUCAUCAUCAAUUCAUAGAUCAGGCUUCUCUAGUUCUCUCAAAUGUUGUCGCGUAAAAACCAACUAGUUUUAAUGUUCGAAUAUUCAAGGCAUAAGGCUACAAGUUCUGUGAGACACAACUAUGUCUUGAUAAAGAGCGCCAUUAGAAACCCACUUUUGCAAUAAAUUACGAGCAACAAAUAAGAAGCAUUGUGAUCGUAACUUAUCCAUCUCGAGACAUGACCUUCUCUAAUGCAAAAUCAAAUUUUUGAAAAAAGGUCGCCUGCCUACCCAACCAAAACCCCCUUCUGGACAAAUCAGAAAGCUUUCCAACUUAGCCUUCUAAGUGCCAAGUCAAAAGACAACCCUGAUCUAUCUAGAUCUUUUUAGCUCUAACAGAAUCCUUCUCCUCCAUGCCAAUAUCACAAGUUUCAUAACAGGUUGGACCUCAUCCAACUACUAAUAUGAUUUAGAUUGCCACCAUCUUAUAGAAAUAUUAUGAAAUGAACAGCCCUCUGCAUCACUAUAAACAGACACGUAAUUCAUUGAAUCUUGUACUUCCAGAACGAUGGUAAAGAACUUGGUAACAAGUAUUGUUACAAAAACAAAUAAAGAAAUCAUGCAAAUAUAGGACCAUUGAUAAGGGUGUCCAAAACUUCACUAUUGAGCGUGUUAAUGUAUUGGUCACCCAUUUUCACCUGAUAUACUUCAGGGACUUGAGCCAGCCUCAUUUCCAAAUGUAUAAAGUAGCUGCUUAUCUAUUUUGUCCCUAAAAAGGAUUUAUUGUUUCAAUUUGAGGUAGUAACCAGAUCAUGAAGGUGGUUACAAGCAUAAAAAAGGCCUUAUUGGCCAACCUACAAGUCAAUGUAUUGUUAGAUAGUUAUCUAUAUGACCAAUUUCGCCAAAAUAUACCACGAUUGCUACAAAAUAUAUAUGGAACUACAUCCAUGUCAUGACAUCUUUAAUUCAUACAUGAUAGUUUAACUUUAAGCAUAAAAUUUAAACUUUACCCAGCUCAGAAAGUAAUUCAGAUGAUUUAUGUGCAUUUAAACAGCACUGGCUUCACCUAAGAUUUCAUAUCCAUCACAUCCAUGUUUCCUCCCAAGAAACAAAACCUUAAAUAGGCUACAAGAAAUAAUAUCCUUCAAACCUUCACUCAAGGGGAUGCAAGAAAUGACAAUGUAAUUGACUAUUUCUAUUUCCAACUUUGCAGCAAAUAUGGAACUAAAAAAAUAGAAAGGUCUUAUUUCACUACAUCUCAAAAAUGAUAGAAAGUAUUAAAUCAAUCCAUGUUUAUGAUUUUGUAGCACUAUUUGAUGGUAUCCACAUAAACAAAUCUUCCAACCAGAUGCUUUCUUUGUCCAUGUUUCUAAGAUGAGGUCCUUGCUAAAUGGCUCCUAAAAUCAUAUGAUGCAAUUUCCCUCCUCUCCUCUCCUUUUGCAUGAUGUCGAAUUGAUUUUGGGUGGGAGGUCCCCAACUCCAACUUUGAUUCUAUCCACCUACUACUGCUUUGCUCUCUUCCUCCCAUAUUUGAUCGAUACAUCAUAUCCAAGUCCUUGUAGAACAACAAAAACUAGAAACCAUCUAGAGUAUAUCCACAUCCACUAGCAAAACUAUAGUAUUAACUUUUAGAGAAUUACCACACUAGUGCGUUUGAACACCUAAAAAUUUUGGUGACAGUGUUUAUGCCAUUUGAUUAAUAGGAUUUAGAAAUAGUGCACAAACGUUUCAACCCUUCGUUGUGCAUGUUUGGGAGUGUGUUUGCACUCGUCAAAAGUGAUUCUGAGUCCAAAAGCAUAAUUUUGAGUGUUUGGCUACAACCCAAAAGUAAUUCUUAGCCAUGUUAAAAAUCCUCCAAAAUGUAGUUUACGUAAAGCUGACCUUCUCUCGUUUCCCAUGGACAAGGGCCUGCAAGCUUAAUAUCGCAUUUGCGGGAAGUCAUUUAUUUUAAGAAAAUAGCACAUUGUCUCUCGAUGCCCUCGCAUCUCCGCUCCUUCCCAACUCCCCAACAUAUCAGAACAUCUUUUCUUCAGAUUAAUUUCCUCCCAAAAGGAUCAACUCCUCAUCGGAGAUCAUUCCCUCUAUACCGGCAAUGGCGAUGCAGCAGUGGAUCUUAGCCAAUUCCAAAGGCCAUCUCCCUCUGUUUUCCCCCCUCUUAUAGCAAUAAUUUCUCCUCUCAGUCUUCCGGGACCUAGAGCUCCCAGCACAAAACCCUCUGCCCGUCCUCAACGAUCCACGUCCGUCUCCUUUCCCUCGUUUCCAUGAAUUUCAAUCCAUUCCGAGUACCUAGGGUUUGGUUUCAUCUUUCUUUCAUUCGAUCAAGCUCCAAAGCCUCAUCGUUCUUUAUUGGUUUGCUCCGAUCUCAAUUAUUUACCUGUUUGUGUUCCUUUUUUUAUUCGAAAUUUGGGUUUAGAAAGGCAUUGUUUUCAUUCUUGGAGAACAUUGUUAGAUGUUGAGGUUUCUUGUGCAGCUGAUUUCAUACUAGAUUUCUCAUGGAUCUGAAGAAUGCAACUUUAUGUAGUUUGAAGAACAAUAGAAUAAUAAGGAUAGUUUCCUCCCUGUUUAUUUACAAGUAUCAUGAAUGUUCAUGCAUCUCGAUUGUAAGUAUCAGGCAUCAUUAAUGUUCGGGCAUCUUGAUUGUAAGUACUGGGUUGGUCUAUCAGUCCUCCAUAUAAAGAACAACAGAUGCUGCUGGAUGAUUUCACAAUCAAGGUUGCUGAAUUCUACCUACCACUGAGAAUCAAGGCUUCUCCUCCUCUUCUUCAAUGUUCUUGGUUGCUGAAUCAAGGUUGCUGUUUUAUUUUUGUCAGCCCCUUUUCUCCUCUCUUGCUUUUAUUUGGUGAAGAGGAGCUUGCUGUCAGACUGCUGAAGCAUCUUGCUUCAAACUCUAAAUUCUAUCAGCCUCUUCUUUGUUUUCACAGUUUCAAACACUGCUUUUGGCCAAAAGCUACAGCUUCCCCAAACAAAUCCAUUGACUUUUAUGUUGCUUAGUAGUACUUAGUACUUUUUUUCUCGAUUAUGUUCUAAUAAACUGUAUUCUUGGCUGCUUUGUCGGCAAAUUCUUUGGACUAAAAUGCUUGACAAAUCACUGUAUAUGUCCUAUAGGUUGAUGCAAUUGGAUGUUUUGUAUUUAUCCUGGUCAUCGCAGUUGCUAGUCUACAGAAACUUUUGCCAAUAAUGUCACACAUCAAACUUGGAUACUCUCUACUUGUGAAUUAUGGAUGAUGGAAAAAAUAAAUAUCACUUUGAUUUGAACUGCAACGCCAUUAGCAUGAUAUUUAUGGAAACAUCUUGCCAACAUGACACACAUCCUCUUCCUCAUACAGUUGUAAGCAUUGGCAUACCAUAGAAACUAAAACUAUAUCAAAGCCACACAUACACCUUGUUUUGUUACAAUGUUAUCUUGAUCAACCAACACAUAUGAAUAUGUAAACCACAUCCUGUUUUUAUUAGUCACAAGAUCCAAGAGAUACCAAUAUGCUAGAUCUACUCAAAGGGCCUUUGAUACAUGGACACUCUACCUAAGAUACUAAGAUCACACUGGGGACUUGUACUAAAAUGUAACAAACUAUGAGAUAAAUUAGUUUGAUAUGUGAAGGACAGCUCCCCUCUUAUUAAGUGACUGAAUAUGACCAUAUAAUGAAUACACAAAUCUCAUAUUUUACAGUAUAUAAAAUUAAAGGCUAAGAGGUAUUUAGAUUAAACAUCAAAUGUAACACAUAAAUGAAGCAAUUCUUUAGGUGUGCCCACAUAAGCCCUAAUACUUGAAUUUGUAAAUUAUAUUCUUGAUUGCUUGAUAUCUACUUGAAGCCAAUUAGAAUUUCUUAGAAAGAAAAAGGCUCUUGCUUUAUGCUAUGGUUUGUGAAUCAUUGAUUUGAGGGUGGGAGGCACACUAAAGUUCACAGACAUGAUAGAACACAACUGUUAGUUGGGAAACUGAUGUAGGAACAGUUACAUGUGAAGAAAAAAUUCUCAACGUGGUAAUCAAGGUACGACGUUGUGAAGAAUGGAAUGCAUAUGGGAAACCAUUGAAAAUCAUCAGGUAUCUUUUUGCGGUAUGUCGAUCUUUCCUGUCACAUAAAUUUCUUAAAACUCUAAACCUCAGUCACAUGCCCAUCCAAUCCCCUCGUUAGAAAAAACCAGAUUUUGUUUACCACAUGGGUUCCUGUCACACAUCAAACUUGGAUACUCUCUACUUGUGAAUUAUGGAUUAUGGAAAAAAUAAAUAUCACUUUGAUUUGAACUGCAACGCCAUUAGCAUGAUAUUUAUGGCAACAUCUUGCCAACAUGACACACAUCCUCUUCCUCAUACAGUUGUAAGCAUUGGCAUACCAUAGAAACUAAAACUAUAUCAAAGCCACGCAUACACCUUGUUCUGUUACAAUGUUAUCUUGAUCAACCAACACAUAUGAAUAUGUAAACCACAUCCUGUUUUUAUUAGUCACAAGAUCCAAGAGAUACCAAUAUGCUAGAUCUACUCAAAGGGCCUUUGAUACAUGGACACUCUACCUAAGAUACUAAGAUCACACUAGGGACUUGUACUAAAAUGUAACAACAAACUAUGAGAUAAAUUAGUUUGAUAUGUGAAGGACAGCUCCCCUCUUAUUAAGUGACUGAAUAUGACCAUAUAAUGAAUACACAAAUCUCAUAUUUUACAGUAUAUAAAAUUAAAGGCUAAGAGGUAUUUAGAUUAAACAUCAAAUGUAACACAUAAAUGAAGCAAUUCUUUAUGUGUGCCCACAUAAGCCCUAAUACUUGAAUUUGUAAAUUAUAUUCUUGAUUGUUUGAUAUCUACUUGAAGCCAAUUAAAAUUUCUUAGAAAGAAAAAGGCUCUUGCUUUAUGCUAUGGUUUGUGAAUCAUUGAUUUGAGGGUGGGAGGCACACUAAAGUUCACAGACAUGAUAGAACACAACUGUUAGUUGGGAAACUGAUGUAGGAACAGUUACAUGUGAAGAAAAAAUUCUCAACGUGGUAAUCAAGGUACGACGUUGUGAAGAAUGGAAUGCAUAUGGGAAACCAUUGAAAAUCAUCAGGUAUCUUUUUGCGGUAUGUCGAUCUUUCCUGUCACAUAAAUUUCUUAAAACUCUAAACCUCAGUCACAUGCCCAUCCAAUCCCCUUGUUAGAAAAAACCAGAUUUUGUUUACCGCAUGGGUUCCAAUGCUUGGGUGCACAAAUGUUUUUUCCCUAAUAACAAUUACAAUGCUAUAUCUAGGCUUGCAAGAAUCUAAGGCAUAAAGGUUAACAUUGCGAUGCAGACACCACAGCAAUUAAUCGAUCAUUUCUAUUCAUUUAGGACCAUUUCUUUUAUACUUAUUCUAAGAAGCUAGGUAUAAGUGCGUAGGGAAUGAGUUUACCUUCUGAAAUGGGGAGAAUGCACAUCCCAACAAAGCAUUUUACUAAAGCAUACUUCAUCAUGGGCAACCAUGGAUGAUUUAAUCAAAAGACUAGCUAUAGGAUCUUACAAAGUGAUCUAUAAGCAAAUAUGCUUAGCGUAGUCUAGAACCUCAUCAUCUCUAACCUACCUAGCCCAUGCACCCUUUAUUUGUUUGGAUAAACACUGCUCACUUUUUUAUAAGUCCCCUCACUCCAACUCCCAAAAAAAAAAAGAUCUCUUCUUAAAGGGGUGCCAGCAGUUGUCUUGAAGACAAAAAUCAAAUUUCAUGAAAGACAAAAGGGUCUUAGCAAUGCUUAUAUAAUGGUCAGGGAGUUUCAUCAAAUAGACACGAAUACAGGAGUUCCACAAACAUAAUAUGAUGCUCUAUCGAAAGGGUUUAAUAUGGUUCUAAAUAUAAUUUGAUAAUAGGAAAGCAUGGAAGAAUUUGUUUAACACUACAAAAUUUACAAAUUGCCAUGCAUUAUGAGGUGCUAUUAGAAAAGGAAAACAAGCUAAUGCUUCCAGCCCAUCUCGUAAAAAAUAAUCUCAACAAGAAUUACGAAUUUCUGGAUGAAAAUAGCGGAAGAUCUUUUUGCUCGCAAAGGAAAGAAAUUCAUUAAGCUAUUUGGAAAAGACAUUCCCAGCACAAAUAACGCAACCACUUGAGUUAUGAAGCAUAAUAGGUUAUAUAUCAUAACAUCAUUAACAACAAAAUGGGAUCCUAGAUGGGAUUCAAUGAAGUCACACCUUUCUUCCAGGAUUGCAGAACCCUCUUCAAAUAGUUCCUCGACAGCACCAACUGAUGAAAGUUUGUUCGUAUGUUUACCAACAGUGUUCUGCGACUUUUUCCCAAAAAGAAGAGAUGUAAACUUAUUCUGAUGCUUUUUUGGAGAUGAUGGUAGGACACAGCAAUCAGAUGAAGGUGGAAUGAUAUCAACAACUAAGCAAGUGGUGUCAUCUUUCAAGCCACUUGUUCUCAAAGCUUCCUAAAAAAACCAAAUCCACAAGAAUUAAGCAACGUGAGCUUAAAAAAAGCACUAAAACAAAUAUCUAUAAGUAAAAAGACGUAAGCCAUUAAUGAUUGGCAUCACCUUAACAACAAGCUUUGCAGCAAGUUCUGCAGGUAUCCCUCGGCACGCCUUCGCAGCCACCUCUGACGACAGAGCAUCCCAUAUGCCAUCUGACGCAAUUAUUAGCCGUCCUCCGGUUCUUGAAAGCUAACCAUCCAAUCAACAACAACAAAAAAACUAUUAUUCCAUGGGAUAUGGAAUACAACAAAACACCAAGUUUGAUUUACACUCACCUUCACUUGCUUAACAUGUGGUAUCGGGACGAUGAAUUCACCCACAUCUGUAUCACCUAUUGACCUUGAAAGGCACAAACCACCCGGCCAGCAGCGGAGCGGACCGACCUGAGAAGGCAGCACAAAACAAGUUUGCACUUCCCCAUCAAGAAAUGAACUUUGAUCAUAAAAUUUGCAACAGAGUUUCUUCAGAUUGUAUACCUCCUGCCCGCCAGAGAGAUUAAGCCUUCCAACCUCUCCCCCACUAGCAGUAACACGUUCCCUUUCCUCCGCAUUCUCUUCCAGCCUAUGAUCGACGGUCAGCAAAGAAACCACACCACCCUGUGUAUCCAGUAUGCACCGCGAGUCGCCCACCGAUGCGACCGUCACCCUCCACCCAUCAACCACAACAAGGGUCACCGUCGUCCCCGAAGUCUCCCCUGAUGACAACAAUCAACGAUCGGAUUUUUCUCAUCAGAUAAACAAAAACCAACAGCAGGGCACGCAUCAAGACUUGCCUUUGCGCUGGAAAUCUAUAUCCGUCCUCACGAAGCCGGCAACCAGAGCCUGCGGAAGGGCCUGGAGCCACUCCUCCCUGCCCAGCCCCGGAGGAAUCGCACUCAUAACAUUGUCCAAGAGAUGCUCUUUCGCGAACACGGCCGCAGACACUCCAUUGUGCCCAUCGAAGAUCUACAGACAAACAUUGAUUCCCGUAAUCGAAACCAAAAAGAAUAUACAAGAAACGGGAGGAAGUUAAAGGAGAUGGCGAUGAUACCGCGAAGACGGAGAAGGAGGAGGAGGAGUUGCCGGGGAUCCGGAGGCAAUCAGGCUUGAUGAGGAAGUAGUCCUCGCCCCGCUUGGCGAAGGCGUGGUGGCCGCACUUGAGGGUGGGCUUCUCGGACUUGUCGCCGCGGAGCUCGCGGCCGAUGAGGGUGGCGAGGGGGACCAGGGGAGGUCUCAUGCUCGGAUCCCGGUGCCGCCGGGCGUCGGUCAUUAGCGACGACUCCGCGGUCUCCUCAAAACCCUAACACAUGCUCGUGCCGGUCCUUCGAAGACCAAUCUCAUCUCAAAAACCGUAUAUUUCUUCCACCACUCGGAUCAGAAAACAUAGAGUAAAAGAUCAAGAAACGCAUCGAUGGAAACCCUAGGCGAGAUCGGCGGAGGGGAUCGGAGGCCCCAAUGCCGGUCGGAGAAGUCGAUCUCGGCGAUGGAGGAAUCAAGAAAAAGGAAAGAGAGGGAGGGAAGGAGAGUGGGCGUGGGGCCCAAUGGGGGCGAAGAUAUCGAGGAGGGAUAGCGAGAGAUCGACUGAGCCCACGGGUUCGGGAUUUGCGAAUUGUGGCAGAAAAAAUCCGAGAGAGGGAGGGAAGGGUUGGGGGGAAUGGGAUGUCGGUACCUACUGCGGAGGCCAAGGAGGGGAAGGGACCUGCGUCGUCUCUGUUCUGCGGCACCGUAGAAAAAGGAGAGACAGGGAGAGAAAGUAGUAAUGAUGGAUAAAAUACGGGGGAAUAAAUUUUUAAAAGAAACGAGAAAGAACGGGAGAAAGAAAAGAGUUGGUAUUUUGUUUUGGUUUGCAGCGGGAGUGGGGGCUGGGGGAGGGGCAAGGGGGAAGGUGUUUCGAUUUCUGCUUUGCUUUUCCAGCUGCGCAUUCAACUUUCUCCCUCUCUCUCUCUCUCUCCAAUCGCUAGAAGCUGUGUGCGGGGUGGUUCUAUAUACACCCCCCCUAUUGCUAAGGACACCCCCCAAAAACCAAAAAGAAAAAACCCAAACUAACCUUUAGUGUAAUUACCAUAUUGCCCUUGAAAUUUUCUCAUACAUCCCCCUUCCUCCUCCUCCGUUUCGUUUUGAAAAGAAAAAAAAAAAACACCCCUCGAACCCCCCUUAAACCCCUCAAUCCAUUUACAUCGUUUAGGCGAUCUUUGNNNNNNNNNNNNNNNNNNNNNNNNNNNNNNNNNNNNNNNNNNNNNNNNNNNNNNNNNNNNNNNNNNNNNNNNNNNNNNNNNNNNNNNNNNNNNNNNNNNNNNNNNNNNNNNNNNNNNNNNNNNNNNNNNNNNNNNNNNNNNNNNNNNNNNNNNNNNNNNNNNNNNNNNNNNNNNNNNNNNNNNNNNNNNNNNNNNNNNNNNNNNNNNNNNNNNNNNNNNNNNNNNNNNNNNNNNNNNNNNNNNNNNNNNNNNNNNNNNNNNNNNNNNNNNNNNNNNNNNNNNNNNNNNNNNNNNNNNNNNNNNNNNNNNNNNNNNNNNNNNNNNNNNNNNNNNNNNNNNNNNNNNNNNNNNNNNNNNNNNNNNNNNNNNNNNNNNNNNNNNNNNNNNNNNNNNNNNNNNNNNNNNNNNNNNNNNNNNNNNNNNNNNNNNNNNNNNNNNNNNNNNNNNNNNNNNNNNNNNNNNNNNNNNNNNNNNNNNNNNNNNNNNNNNNNNNNNNNNNNNNNNNNNNNNNNNNNNNNNNNNNNNNNNNNNNNNNNNNNNNNNNNNNNNNNNNNNNNNNNNNNNNNNNNNNNNNNNNNNNNNNNNNNNNNNNNNNNNNNNNNNNNNNNNNNNNNNNNNNNNNNNNNNNNNNNNNNNNNNNNNNNNNNNNNNNNNNNNNNNNNNNNNNNNNNNNNNNNNNNNNNNNNNNNNNNNNNNNNNNNNNNNNNNNNNNNNNNNNNNNNNNNNNNNNNNNNNNNNNNNNNNNNNNNNNNNNNNNNNNNNNNNNNNNNNNNNNNNNNNNNNNNNNNNNNNNNNNNNNNNNNNNNNNNNNNNNNNNNNNNNNNNNNNNNNNNNNNNNNNNNNNNNNNNNNNNNNNNNNNNNNNNNNNNNNNNNNNNNNNNNNNNNNNNNNNNNNNNNNNNNNNNNNNNNNNNNNNNNNNNNNNNNNNNNNNNNNNNNNNNNNNNNNNNNNNNNNNNNNNNNNNNNNNNNNNNNNNNNNNNNNNNNNNNNNNNNNNNNNNNNNNNNNNNNNNNNNNNNNNNNNNNNNNNNNNNNUAAGAUAUCCUCCGGCUAGAAAAAUACUGUAAUGAGGACUGAGGAGGUUAGAAUUUCUUUUUUUUUCUUCCUUUUCUUUCUUUCUUUCGCUCGUUCUUUCUUCUCCUUCCUUUUCUUCUCCUUCUUCUUCUUUUUUAUUUUUUAUUUUUUUACUAAGACAGAUAAUUUAUACAAGAUGUACAUAAAUACAUCCAAAAAAAUCAGAAAACAGAAAAUCACAUAGCUCCAAAGAUAGCUUCCAUUUCCAGCCCACAAGGUACUACCAGCAUAAUUAGCCACAUAGGCGGCCAUUCAAUUUACAAUCCCAUUAGCUUUUCUAAAUACAUGCUUAGCUUGGACGGUCCCACCAUCCAUCAUCAUCAUCCAGAUGUCUCGAAGCAAAGGAUGGUCGUAGUCGACAGCCCUCGGACCCUCUUGGAUCUAUCUGAUGAUCGUAGCCGAGUCACCCUUCAGGAUGACUGAACUAGCUAGUAGCACUCGCCAAGCAUGUCCAAGGCCCGCCCAUGGAGCCCUCAACUCCACACCAGAGACCAUAAUGUCGAGUAACUGACAACCACCUGCUGCCACUACUCUGGAGCAUGAGUUUCUGAUUGCGAAACCCAUGCCUCCCUUUGUGCCUCCAUUCAGCACAGACCCAUCAAAGUUGACCUUAAGAAAGCUUGGAGAUAGAAGCUCCCAGGUAAAGAACAUCGUAUGGGGUACUGCUAAGGCAGAAUGGCAACCUCAAAUAUUUCGAGCUGUCAAAGACCCUUCUACGCAGGAGACAUGACUAAUCUCCACCGUCUGUGCUCUGACACUCUCCGCUACGAGCCUCGGCGACAAACUAUGCUUGUCAAAAGUUCGAGCAUUCCUUGUCAGCCAGAUUUGGUAUACUGUGCAAGUCGUUCUAACAGCCUUCUGACGUAUCAGUGAAUUAUCCAACCACCGACAGAUGGUCCGUAAGAACAAGUGUUUUGACUCCAAACCUCCCUCAAGACUUAGGAGUUAUGCAUGCUAGUUAAGUGCCAUUCCUGCCAAAUAUAUGAUAGUUAUCCCGCAUACAGUAGUUGUGCAUGCUAUUCCCUCUCAAGCAAAACAAACUCAAAUAAUUUCACGAUAAUCUCAAGCCACUCGCGCUUGGCAGAUAACAAGGGGAGCAGGGGAGAGUCCAGAUCACCGUGCCGACCGUGCAAUUUAUGCGCGUGCUGAGGAACGUGCCGUGGUUAUCAAACCCAAACCCCAAGCGGUGAGUCAGACCGUGAAAUCGGAGAACCGUACCUCGAGCCGGGUCCGGCUUUGUAACGAGACCGCUGUCAGUGAUCCGUACACCGAAUCAGCCAAAACCCCACGCCCGCGGGGGACGUUGAUGCGGUAUGGGAGUUCCGACACGUGCACCAAUCACACACGGGGCACAUGCCCCGGCACCUGCGCAGGGAGGAUCCCCACAAUGUGAACCAGCGCCAUGAUAUUAUAGUGUAACUAGUGUCCCACCAAACAUACAUCAUUUGUGGUAACAAUGCCAUUUUAGGUUAGAAAGAAUAAGUAAUCCUUCUGUUUUUUUAUUCCAAUUUCAUUGCUAAGCCUACCAGAUAGGGGGAAAAUGGAUCAGAUGAUAUCAAUCGAGAUCUAUUUUUCAAUUCAAAUCUAUUAGGAUAUGAAUAAAAAUUUGAGAUUAAUGUGCGUAUUCAUAUCCAUAUCUAUUAAAGAAAAAUAGAUAAAAAAUAAAUAGACUAUCUGAAUAUCUAUUUUUAUUGGUAAUUUUAUUUAAUUUUAUAUAGCAUUCAUGACUUUUUAAGAAAAAUAAAUGAUUGUAUUAGUAUACUAUUAAAUUAAUUUAUCAUUUACUUUAUAAUAUUUUUGAUUCUGUGGUCACAAAAUUUAAUUAUCCGACUUAUAUUCGUAUUUAUAUUUAUAUUUUUAGUAUCGGAUUUGUAUUUGCAUCUAUUUAAGAUAAAUAUUAAUAUAAAUUUUUGCAACAGACUAAUAUUGGUAUCUAUAUCAGUAUCCAUCAAAUAAAAUAAAUAUGGAUAUCGAUAUACUAGUAUUUGAUCCAGUAGUGUCACCUUUUCAUAGCAAAAGUAAAUUAGGUAUAUUAUCUACCAGGCUAAUGGAUAUUUGGACUAAACGGGACAUAAAUAAUGAAGCAAAGUCUAAACUCGCGUUGAAGGAUAUAUAGAAAGAUGGUUCGAGGAUAUUGUUAUAUGAUCAAGAAUGUCUAUAUGUACCGCCACAUGGCUUGAGGCAUGGUCCAACAAUAGAGCUAGUGGAACCGCACUAAGUUGUUUGCAAAAGAACCUUUACAACCAAAGGGAUUUAUAAAGAUCAGAUAUACGAAUGUUUUGAUAAACAAAGGAUCAAUGAUGCUAGAAUGAAGCUUUUCCCUCCUCCAUAUAAACACCAACUAAUGCUCGUCACGUCAAGUGAUACCUAGGAAUCACACUCGAGACUUAACCAAUAACCACCCUCCAUACACAUUAGGAAUCUCUUAAAUUGGCACUUGAGAAUGUGCAAUGAGAUCAUGAAAUGUUGCUCAUGUUUCAAGGAACGGAGUCAUCUUUAUUUAAAAUCAUAGGUGCCAGAUAAAUAAAACAUGAGGCCACUUACGAACGCCAAAACUAUGAUAGACUUGUUCUGUUUGCUAGCCACCAUUAUUCGCCUAUUGAAGCAGGCAAUUAGGGGUCUAGGAUACACCAUUUGUUGGAUUUUCUCUUUUGCUUUCAAGCACUAAAAAAUCUGGAAAAGUUGUGCAACAAUAAAUAUCGUAGAGAAACAACAUAUUUUGAAAUUAAAACCAAGUGUAAAUCGCAGUAAAUUUGUAAGAUUGAUCACAAAUCUUUUAUGAAAAGUAAAAGUUUAACAAAGUAAGGCUUAGAAGUAAUAUAAGCAAAAGGCUAAACUACAUAAUAACCCUCCAAAUGCAUUAACCCUGAAUCCAUGGAUAACUAAUACUCUCACUAUUUCAAGUAACGGAUUGAUUCAGCAUACCAUCUUUCACACCCCUUCAACCAAUAAGACUGUUCUUCAUCAAGUUGGUAGUUGGUACCAAAGAGACAAACUGACCUAAACCACUGUAGAGAAAACCUUUUUGUCAGGCAACUUUUCUAGGAUACAAUUCUUCUCAUUAUUAGCAGAGGGAAAAGUCCACAAUAGUGGUGCAACUUGAUGCAUUUAGAUCAGUAGAACAUGAGAACAAGAAAUAAUCAUAUAUGAUUUAGUCUCUUCGCCUAUCAACUGUUCGUGAGAAGCUAAUCUUAUAAAAUGCAACUUAAAAGGAUAACUACUUGCAACAAAGUCAUCAUCUUACUAGAUAUAAGUUAUAAAGAUUCAUUGUAAUUUUUCAGACUAAGCCUUCGACGUCACACAAGAUAUGUUCAUGAUAAGAUAUGGUGAAUGUAUGGUUUUAAACAACGGCAAUAUAACUGUUAUAACAGUUUAAUACACCCUUAUUAUGAAGAAAUAUAAUAGCUAUUAUUUUGUAUUAUUUUCUGUUAUUUUCUAUUUUUUUAAUAACAAGCAUUAUAACACAAAUGAUGAAUGUUGUUUAUUUAUACUUUCUUUAUUUAUACACAGACAUAUAGAGAGGCCAAUGGGGCUGCAGAUUAGGUGACAUCGUAUGUGGCCAACUAUUUUAGAAAUACUCUGUAGGUGGAGGAGAGGGAGUUACCUAGUGCACUCCAAGAGCUAUUGUUUUUUAAUUUUUGUUUGGUUGUAUCCGUACCCACAUUAUAUGAUACAUCAGAGUUAGCAAAAAAAAUAAAAAAAUAAAACAAUAUAUUUAUUUUGAUUUUCAAAAUUUCUGCUAAAAAUUCCUUCCAAAAAUCAUCGUGCUUUCCAAAAAAUAUAUUAUUUUAUUAGAUAAAAAUUAAAGAAAAUAUAGCAUCAAUAUAUCACCAUCUUUUUGCUAAGACAAGAUAUUUUCUGUCAUAAUACUGUUAUAAUAGCCAUUAUUUUGAAGAUUAUUGUGAUAUUAAAAAUUUAACACUUGUUUUUGAGGCAAAAAAAAUAUGUCAAUCUAUAAUUGUCAAUAACUGUGGGUGAUCGAAGCUGCAAAUUUCAAAAUAAUUUUAAGGAUAUGUUCGACAUUGCUGAUAAGAGCAGGGAGAAAUCAGGUCAUUGGGAUAAAACCAAGCGUGCGAUUUUCCAUUAUUGUACGGCGUUGGAUUCUAUAACGGAUCCAGUGGAGCUCCCGGGCCCACCCCGUCGAGUUCUACGGGAGACGAUCCCCCGAGUCCUGGGUCCCACGAUUAAAAAAGACACACAAGAGCCGGACCGUCGGAUCGGAUUUCGACGGUGGAUUUGCUCGACGCGUCGAGAUAUGGACGGCAGCGGGCAAAGGGGUGUAUCUAGAUGGCGAAGGCGACACGGCGGGACGCGGUGACGUGGCCAUGUGACGAUGGGCCCCACACGGGGCUCGUCCACUCAUCGGCUCAGGUGCCCCCUAGCUGUAGGUUUGACGGAAAGAAGCCUCCUUUUCUCGAAUUCGCUCCCAGUUUUCAACUCGCUUUUCCUCCGCAAUGAAACAUCUAACUGAAGCUUGGUGCGGGGCUUUUUAUUUUAUUUUUAUUUUUAUUUUAUUUUUUUUAAGCGGACGAGCCGAAUAUAAUAUGGAUAUGGACACAUCUACUAAAAUAAACAAACAAAAUAUCGUGAAAUGUCAUAAGUAGCUUCUCCUCCUGAGNNNNNNNNNNNNNNNNNNNNNNNNNNNUGUUUCUUUCUAGCAAUUCAGCCGUAGUAAUAUGAUGAUAUGAUGCAGACAAGAAGAAGUUUUAGUUAAUUAAUUUGUCCACUUCUUUUGUCAAGACCAUCGUCUUCAUGGUUGGGUAGUAGAAAAGUCUAGGAUGAUUUGAGUUCUCAGCUUGCAUCCCUUUCUUUUAAAUUAAAAAAAUGAAGGCAAGAACUUAUCCAUUCAAUUUACAAGACAAAUCCCACCACCAUAGGAAGUUCUAAGCCACUUGCAUAUUGGAUAAAUAUCUUUUGUUAGAUGGAUCUUGUUCAUCAUCUUUAUUCUUAUUUUAUAUUUGAAAAUUCAUCUCCUUGCGCCAUGUUAGUACCCAGGAAUAGCUGAAUAAAAUAACAAAAGUAAUAGAAAAUAAAAGAGCAUGGUAGAUCAAGAUUGACUGUGGUUCACCUAAAAUCUAUGUUAUAAGUACUGAGGGAGUGGCAGGUCCACUGUAACAAAUGGAGUAUGCGAGAGCUCACCGAGAAAAAAUGAUUCGGAGAAAAUAUAAGAAUAGAUUUUGCCAAGAAAUCUAAACAUAGAAGAAUCACAUGUGUCAAGAUCUUGAGACCAAAAAAUAAUGUUCAAGCUCUAUCUUUUGUUCUCUCCCUCAUAUUUUGCUUCUAACACCACAUUGCAUCCUCCCACAGCAUUGAUUCGAUCACUGACCUUUCAAUCCUUAUAACUUUCUUGUUUCUUGGCCAAAUUGGGCAUAUGAAUGUAGAAAAGACCUAAUGAUGGCCUUCGAAUAUAUAGCGGCCAUUGAUCAUAUGAUAUUUUUGUUUUGAGAGAAAAAUGGUCUGCAAGAAAAAAACGUCCAUAACUAUAAUAGAACUUGUGAUUCAUUUUUUUCUCAAACCACAUGUUAUAAUUGGCUGCAAAUUUUCAGAAAUGAUCACACCCCAAUAGGCGCUAUAUGAAAAGAAAGUUCAAACACCAAGCAUAGCAAAAGUUGCCAUUGAAGGAUAUGGAGGUCCUACUAAUAGCCAGCCUAUGGAAAACCAUAUAAACAAAAAUUUCGAAAGUAUAUUCAACAUCUUUAGAGCCUCGAGAAACAUGAAAGGCUAUGAUACCAAUGACAGAAAUCAAAUCUUCGGUCAGAAUGAAGAUCAAUAACAUACCUCUCGAAAGCAUGUGAUCAAAGUUUCCAAAGUUCAUCUUCAGCUAGAAUUAUAUAUUUUGGUCUCCUUGUGUUCUUGAACAUCUUCUUCCUUAUUGUAUCGAAAAUUCGUGGCCAGAAAUUUGUUUGUAAUUGAAAAUUAAACUCUUUCACAAGAGUCUAUAUAAAAAGGGAGAGGAAUUUCUUCCAAUAAUCUCUCUCAUUUUUUAUCCCUUCAUUUUACUAUUAGGUGGUUACGUUGGUUUGUAGCAGUUCUGACAACUAUACAAGAUGUAAUAACUCCCAUCUGAACCUAUUUGAACUAGGCAUGGGCAUGCUCUCAUGGGCACCAGCCUCUGGCUCUUGAAUUAGUGCUUGUAUAAAUAGUACAUGGAUGAGAUACUAAGUUUCAUAACCCGCAUAAUAUAUCUCUGUAUACACUUUCUAUAUGCUAUGCUAUUCAUUGUGAACUAGGAGAUACCCUAGUGUUCUCAUCUCUUUGCCAAAUAAAUAAAUAUAUCUGAAUCUUGGAUAGUGUAUUCACAGGAAUUUAGUUCCUGGUAAUUAUAAUUCUUGUGGAUCAUUUUGUUAUCUCAAAAAUUCUUGGUAACAUUAUUUGCAUAAGUAUUCUAAAAGGAUGUCAGAGAUAGUUUAUUAAUAACCAAAGUUCCAUAAGUCAUCCCAUAUAUGCAUGUUGGGUAUGUACAUGCUGCGCCUCUCUAACAUCAUGUUGUUUCAAGGCCCUGGAUCGCUAUAUUAAUUAAAGCUUCACUGCAGCCAUGCAACAUGCACAUAUCAAACAUGUACACGCAUACCAAGGCAGUGUUGAGUUGCCAAGAAAGUGAAUAGGGAAACCAUGAUAAAAAAAAGAAAAUAAAAUGAGGAUUAUGUAUUGUUGGCCUAUUUUUAAUAAAUAAAAAAAGAAUUGUAGAUGAAUUUUGUUGUUUGCUACGCAAGAGAUAAUCUGAGAUUCUAUUUUGUUUAUCUUUCCAAAUUCUUGGAGAGGAAAGAGUUUUUUUAGCCCCUAUAAGCAAUCUUUUAAUAAGGAAAAAUAUAUAAUAGAGUGGCUAGAGUAAUAGUAUUAAUAGUAGUAGUAAUAGUAAUAAUUAUAGUAGCAAUAGUAAUAAUAAUAGUGAUAAUAAUAAUAACAGUCAUAAUAGGAGUAACAACAAUAACAACAUCAAUAACAACAACGAUAGUUAUAUAAAGUUAGGCCUAGUUUGGGCCAAUCAUUUAUGACCCCAAAAACCCAUCCAAGCUAUCUCAACAAUUCAGCUGCAAAGUCUCCGCUUUCCUUUAUCUCUAAUUUCAGUUAUAACAAUAGCAACAUUAUGUAAUAUUGUAUACUUUAAAUGACAAGUUGUAACAUCCACAUUCAUUGGAGAUAGUUUUUGUAACUCUAUAUAUUCAAAUAAACAGCUCUUAGUGAGGGCCAAACUAGUUUUUUCAUAUUAUUUUACUUACAUAGUAUCAGAGCAUUCAAGCUAACUCUUGAUUCUGAUAUAGCUUCCACAACCUUAGCAAACUUGGUCUAACAGUGGAAACGCUUUAACGACCACUGGCAAACCAUGGAGCAACUUAAUUCGCUGGAUAUUCUAUCGUCGAUGGCCUCCGGUUGUGGCGCCGCCGCAUCAGGCUUUAUCGCAAAACUUGGCGAUGGACAAUAGACUUCCCUCCGGCAUGACACAGGGGAACGAGCCGCUAAAAACCUGUUUCCGAUGUCUAACAAUCCCUCCAAAAUUUGGAUGAGUUUGUUCGACACCCAAACAAUCCCUCCCAGAUCUUGAUAGAAUUCCGACUGCUAUCAGCCAUCAUGCCUCAAUGCCCGAAUGUAACGACGCCAGAGUGUGGAGAUGGAACGCCUCUGGAGCCCUCUCAGUGGCGAAGUUGCUCUUGUUUCUCAUCACACGGCGACAUCUUCUCUCCACUCGGUAAAACUUUUGCUGACUUUCUGUUCCCGAGAAAGCAAAGAUCUUUAGAUGCCUAUGCUUCAGCAGCAGAGUAUUGACCGUCGAUAACCUUGCAACAAAGGGCAUCAAAGGCCCGAGUGCAUGCCCCCUUUCCUCCUCUCAGGAAGAGUCAACAAUUCAAUAUAAUCUGAAAAUUAUACAAUUCAUCUGCAAAAAAAUUCUAAAUAUUACAAUAACUAAACUAUUAACCUAAGAUAUUGCAUAUAUUAUACAUGCCACACAAGUUGUACCAUAGAGCUUCUUCUUCUAAAUUUUACGAUUCAAAACUUCUAGUGCUUAAGUUAUUUAUACAUUAUUCGGAAAACAUUAUAAUAUAUGUAUGCUGAUCAAACCAGUUCUACCAUCCAUAAGAACGGCCUUGCCUUUAAUAUUUUCCUAAAAUACUGAUAUCAGUCUAGCCUCUGGAUCCUGGAUAUGAAAAAUAUUGGUAAAGAUUAUGCCCAGUGAGUGACAAAUACAAUUUACAAAACUACUUCAAGCCAUAUUAAUAAUGUAAUUCAAUUAAAUCACAUAAGAUAUGAUACAUCUUUACAAGUAAUGUUUAUAGUAUUUAUUAUCAAUAAUAUCUACAUACCAAAAUUACAUGCCAUCUUUUCAAUAAUAUUGGUAUAAAGAAUUGAUACAUCAUAUCAGAGUACAAUACGUGUCCAAUAUCAUAAUCAUGCUUAUAUUUAUAUGUUUAAGUGGGAUACUUAAUCUUUUUAGCUCUAUAACCCUGACUGCAGUGUAUUUAUACUAUGCUGCUCAAGUAUCACCAUAAUUAUCCUCGUGGUGGGGUCACUAUAAUGUCGCCCAUGGUGGGGAUCACCACGAUCGCCCUUGUGGUGGAGUUGCCAUAUUAUAUUUACCAUGAUCAUCCCCAUGGCGAGGAUCACUAUAUAAUCAAGUCUGGACUCAUAUAUAGUAAGGUUGAGAGUCACACACACACACACACAUAUAUAUAUAUACAUAUAUCUAUAUAUAUAUAUAUAUAUAUAUAUAUAUAUAUAUAUAUAUAUANNNNNNNNNNNNNNNNNNNNUAUAUAUAUAUAUAUAUAUAUAUAUAUAUAUAUAUAUAUAUAUAUAUAUAUAUAUAUAUGUAUAAUUUAAGUAUUUCUUUUUUUUUAAUGCUUGAUUUCAUUAUAAUAGGUAUCAACAUAUAAUUUGAUAACAGAAAAGCCAUCACCAAUUAAUUAAUCGUAUUUAUAGAGAUUUCAAACACUAUUAAAUUUGAAUUUACCAUAAUAAAUUAUAAUUUUAAUGAUAAAAAUUUAAUUAACUUUAAUUAAUUAAUAUAAAGUGGAAAUGUUACUUAUCUUGUAGAUAUGAACCAUUCAACGAUCUAAGUACUUCUUUGGGGUUCCUCAUAAUCUAAUAAUCCAAAAUCACGUGCAUGUAUCGAAUUAUUAGUACAAUCAUAUUUUAAAAUUAAUUUCUAAAAAUCUCUAAAAGAAUUCCAUUUUUUCUUAUUUUUUAAAAAUUCUAAAAUUUCAGGUUAUAACAUUUCUUUGUACCUAGUUACAAGACAGAAGGUGAGAGUUGGUACGGUAAAAAUUGCGCCGGGCUUGCUCAAAAGCGAGAGAAAGAAAGAAAGAAAGAGUGCGAGCCUUUACCCUCUUAACAUGCUCGCGCACCAACACACGGGUGGAGAGAGAGAGGGGGGCCUUUCCUCUCUUUCUUUUCAUUUUGUUUUUCCUCCUUAUUUUUUGCCAGAGAGAAUCCGGAAGGAAGAAAGGAAGAGAAGAAGGAGAGGAAGACAGGGUGGGAGUGGGAGGAUGGGUGAGAGAGAGAGAGAGAGCGUGAGAGGAAGAUGGCGAAGGAGGAGGAGGAGGAGACGGCGGAUCGGUGAGGAGAUGCCGGAAGGGCGACCGGCCGGUGGUUCAGCGGAAAAGGAGGGUGGAGGGAGGAAAGAAGAAGAGAGGGUAUGCUGCGGUGGGAGCUAUGGUCACGGAAGAAAGGCGCAGGUCACUGCCUUAGGGCGGGCCCUCCAUAUUUUAAACCUGGUCCACGGGGCCCAGGUAUCACAAACCCAAUAAAAUACCAGCACCGAGACCACCCUUCACCUGGAUCUCGAAUCACCCUCCUCCCCUUCCGUCCCUGGCAAAGUCGCCGUUCGGACUUGGGGUGAGGAGGGGUGGUGGCCAUGGAUCCGAGAGAGGAGAAGACGAAGGAGAUGCGAGCGACGAUAAAGAGAGAGAGCACCCUCGUUUCCCCAACUUCAACAAUAAAAUCUAAACCUAAGGAUGGGGAGGCGAAAUUCAGCUCAUUAGCAUCGCCCAAAAACUUUGCGGGCUCGUUCCGUUUGCGAAAAAUAUUUUUUUUAUAAAAAAUAUAAAUUUUGAUAAAUUUUUUAAAAAAUAAAUAUUUAAAAAAAUAUUUUUAAUAUGUUUAGUUAAUCAUAAAAAAAUAAUAAAUUUGUAAAGUGCUUAUGUUUGAUUGACCAUCAAUUUUUUGUAAAAAGUUAUGUAUAAUUUCUAUUAUAUUCUUAACAAAAAUUAGAUUUUUAAUAUCUCUUUAAUGCUGAAGAAUUUUUUUAGAAAAAAUAAAAAUUGAAUAAUUUCCGACUCAUAAAAAAAACUUUCUCAUACUUCUCAUAGUAAAAUUUUUUUUUAUAAAAUAUAAAAAUUAUAUUUCUAUGAGGAUACAAUUUUUUUACGUCUUUUUUUUUUCAAAAUUUUAACAGAAACAUUAUUUUAUUAUUAUUAUUAUUAUUAUUAUUAUUAUUAUUAUUUUUGGCGAACCAAACGGGCCCUGCAUGUUGCACCCAAAAUUCGGGGUUUUGGACAUCACUUAUUGGUGUCCUAGUUCACACUGUUUACGAGAAUGAGUAAAUGCUGUAAAGAACCAUCUCUGACAGGCCAAGCAUAAAGUCCCAUUUCACAUACAUGAGUGCGACAAGGUAGAUUUUGAGGACACAAAAGUCGCAUUGCCUUCCAGUUGGUGAGCCUGGUCCGGCUCUGGUACUAUUACGUAAACUAUUUGCCCACAUUUUCAAUAGGUGAAGUGAAAGCAAAGCUAGAGGGAGACUGAGAAAUAGAUGAUGGCCCUCACAUGGGAUAGCUAUUUGAAAGCAAAAGCAGUAAUCAUGAGAGGGGAUGAAAAUGAGAAAAGAAGUAAUUAUGAGCAUCCAUGGAAAAAGAACCAACAACUAUACACCUGUGCAGAACCAUCUCUUCUUUUGCAUUUCUUCUUCUUCCAACUUUUUCUUUUCCUUUCCUUUAUGAAUUAUGAACAUGGCAGAUAAAGAAUGGUCAUCUGAAAAUGAUACAUGUCGACCACUUGAAGCAAAAGCAAAGAGGGUGUGGUAGGACUCCCACCACCCUUCACUACAACCACCAAACCAAUCCAAGCAACUGGGGUUAUUGGCACUCAUUACCAUACUCGAGGACAAGGCCCUCGAUCUAUCAUGAAAAUCUAAAAAGAAAGCCAGGAAACACGCAGCAUCCUUUCAAGAACCGUCCUUAUUUCGCAUUGUUCAUUUUCCCACCAGAUGAAGUCCGUUUCCCAUCGCUGCUGAUAGAAUUAGGCUGCCUCCCUGUCCGAUUAGACCCGUUCGACACUUUCCUGGAUGGCGAAGGGAGGUGUGCAUGGUUUGGAGUUCUAAAUUAUAGUAGAGGAAAAUAGGAACCAUUAGAAGCAUUCAGAAUGAUUUAAUUGAAAAAGAAUGUGCUUAAAGUAAUGCAGUAAACAGAAACAGACAGGCUUAUUUUGCUCUGUUGAGUAGUAGGUUCGAACAAAAUUUAGAAGUACAGAAAAUUCAAAAUUCAUGUUAUAUGUCAUAUAUGAAUCCCAACAUGGUAGUCUAUAUAUCUCACAAUACUAGCUUAAUUAAGCCAGCUUCAUAGCAAAAAAAAGGGGGUUGAAAUUUGUAUUUCUACUUAUGUGACAUCAACGGUUCGUAGAUUGNNNNNNNNNNNNNNNNNNNNNNNNNNNNNNNNNNNNNNNNNNNNNNNNNNNNNNNNNNNNNNUUCUCAUUAAACAAAAAAGAUGCAAAAGACUUGCACACAAAGAAAUGACUGAACACAUGCAACCAAGGAAGACCCUCCAAGACUAUAUCAUCAGUGACAAGCAUGUAAACCAAAGGACUUCAUCCUGACCUCAAAGUUGCCAACUAUGAGACCAGUAAGCCAAAUGAAAGAAACCCCCCCUAAAGCAUGAGAUUCAAGUUCAAUGCCAGGGCGGUUGGAAAGGGUUGGAGAUUGUUGGUUAUGAUCACAGAUCUUUUAUGGAGACAAAUAAGCUCUGACUAACAAGACUAUAUUAUCAGUGACAAGCAUGUAAACCAAAGAACUUCAUACUGACCUCAAAGGGGCCAACUAUAAGACAAGUAAGCCAAAUGAAAGACAACCCUAAAGCAUGAGUUUUAAGUUCAAUGCCAGGGCGGUUGGAAAGGGUUGGAGAUUGUUGGUUAUGAUCACAGAUCAUUUAUGGAGACAAAUAAGCUCUGACUAACAAGCACCCUAAAGUGGGUGCACUUCUAAUGCCUAGCUGUGAUGAGAAGGAUAUAACAAAAAGAAAGAGUAUUCCAGACAGUAAACCUGCACUUCCUACAACUGCAGCAAAACUUGCCAUCACUGAAAGCUGGUAGUAGCCUAGAAUCUCCAAUCUGAACAUAUCCAGCUGUUUGCCUAGCAAAUUGCAAUGCUCUAGUCUGCUGCAAGAGUUAUUGGUUGCAGCUAGACAACACUAUACAGUGAGUGAUGCAUGCUAAAAGGAUUAUUAGGGAAAAGAAUUGGCAUCUGCCGCAUCUCUGAUAUGGCAUGAUACCAUGCUGGUUUUGUUUUCAACAGUUACUGUAGCCUAGGAUGGUGUUCCUUCAAUAUAGCAAAAUUAAUAACAAUAAAACAUUAGAAAUUUUCCCCAACUAAACAACAAAUUUCUAAUAUUUAGAUCUCAAACAAAAGGCCACCAUCAUAAAACAUCGUGGAUAUGCAUAAUUUUGGUCAUCUGUUCUCAACCUACAAUAAAAGGGAAAAGUAUAAUUUAUUUUUAGAAUACUAAGAAACAAAAAAAAAACAUACAAAAUUAGAAUAUGUUAUCACUGACUAAAUUGACUCGUUGAUGUAGCAGUUUUAGCCGUAUUGGUUUUGGCAAUUCAACCAGAACUCAUAAGAGAGGAGUUUUAGGAUGCAAACAUAACUUCAAUAAUCCUGUGAUAAAAAAAAUUAAAAACAAGAAACUUUCUUUCACAUCUAGACUCAUAACAUUUUAAAAUAUCUAUAUUUGCACAAUCAAAGGUACAGCUUUAGCUAAAUUGCUGGUCAAUGAUUACCUUAUAUCUGGGCUAUUUGUUGGCUUUUGUUGAGGUUUUUUGAUCCUUGACCCACCUUCAUUAACUGCAGUAUUAACAUUUUGGAGAUUGAAUUGCCAUAAAGUGUCCGCUUCUGAAGAAUCACUUGUUGCAAUGUCUAAAUCAUCUGAAUCAUCAGUGCCCACAGAAUAAAACCGGCUUCUUUGCAUAUCAAAAUCAUGACUAUCUUUUCUCCUAGUGGCAUUCCUGAGGUAUUGUUCUGGAUAAGCUCCCACAUCGGAAACAUACCUUUGGUAAAAAAAGUCAGGCAGGGGUGCCCUAUCUCCUUCCCAAUCCCUUAAGGAAUCAUCAUCUCUGAUCACAGCCUCAUGCUUGUUCACCAUGACCUUGUCAACCCAGUCUCCAGGAACACUUUCUUUAUCUUCUCCCAUCUGAAAAAUUGUUCUGGGAUUGCUGUCUGGCCAAGGGGAAUCAUUUGCCAUUAACAACUCUUGGAGAUCAAAGCUUGGUUUCUUUUGUUUCAACGAAGGUUUACUCCACAUCUACAAAUAUAUCAUUAUUAGAAAAUUCAUGCUUCAGGAUAUGGCAAAGCAAAAAUGCAGUCAAGAUAAAUUACCAGCAAUAAUCUAUUUCAUGGUCAUAGGAACCAAUCAAAUCAAACCAUCAUCUCUGGGAAGCCAUAAAGAUCUUUGAGCAGAAAUUAACCAGUUUCUAUUCAAGCACUGAUGAUAUGAUAAAAAGUGCCAUAACCCAGUUAUGGUCCCAGCAAUCCGGGAUCCUGUGAGAGGUAAACUGGGGACAGUCCUAACGUUUAGCAUUUUUCUUGUCAGUCCUAACCUGGCCCCUAUAGAUGAUAUAAUACAUGGAAGAAAAUACAUAAUUGAUAUCACAGUAUUUAUAUAACAUUUUCUACUUGACAUAUAUAAAAUCGUCAAAUCACUUUCAAGAUGCUGAAUCCAAAAUAUAGAUCCCUAAAAUAUUUAAAAUUGUGAGGACUGAUGAAAAUGAUAGAGAUGAUACAGGUCAUCUAUGCCUAUGAACUGAAGCAAAAGCCUGACUUAUAUUUAAUAAUUAUUAAUCUUGAGUGAAAAAUCAAAGUCUUAAUAUUUAAGUGAUAUAUCUAGCAUCUAAUAUGCAAGUUAAACAUAUUUAUUGCAUUAGGGAGGACGUGUAUGAAUAUAACUGUUUAAUUUGAUAGUGAUGAAAUGAAUAGCUAAAGAGAAAUUAUAAUCCAACAACACAGCACAUUUAAUAUAGUGAGAGCAUUCACAAUCCCUAAUUUAGUAUUAGCUGUCCUAAGUACGAUACCUCUAUGUUUCCAACAUCCUCCAUAGGCUGUCUGCGGUUAGUUUGAGUAUUUAAAUACUCUUCACCAUGCCGCCGAUUUGAGUUUACAGGUGAUGGUGCCUUCAUGUUGAGCAUGUCAGGAUUUGGUAUUAUAUUCUGAAGAUGCUCUGAUCCUCCUUCUUUCCUUGCUAAUGCUGCUUUAAGACAGGCUAUCUGAAAUAAAGAGAAAAGGGAUCUUUAUAUCUGAAAGGACAAAGAAAUAUGAAACAGAGGGAUGUGUAUCAUAUAUAUCAAUUUAGAGGUAAAAGCUCAGGCAAAAAACCUGCUCCCUGAGCUCUUUAACUUCUCCAUUUUCUUUAUUUAUUCGAGCAGCACCAAGUUCAACAGUAGAAACCCGCUCAGCAAAUUUGAGCGUGCUAAUCGUUUCUCCAACAGCAUCCAUUUCAGGACUUAUAUGGACAAACAUCAAUGUUUUUGCUUGCCCACCUGAAUAUUUAAACUUAUAGAGCUCAGUGAAAUAGAGAUAGAACUUCUUUUAAUUCUCAUUAACAAAUUAACAACAUUGAAGGCAUAAAAUUUACCAAGAGAGUCUUGAAGCAAUUGCGUGAGUUUACUAUUUCUGUAAGGAACAUGCGAGUUCUUCUGGGCAAGAGCAGAUAUUACAUCCCCUAGAGCUGAGAGCGAUUUGUUUAUAUGUUGCGCCUCUUUUAGCCUUUCUCCCGUGGCCUCAGAUUUAUCAACUCUUUCACUGCCUGCAAGAUCAACUAAAUGCAUGCAUCCCCGAAGGAUCGUUCCAGAUGUCAUAUCUCUUCCUUGAACAUGAACAGUCAAGCAACUGCAAGCAAGAUCAUUUGGCAUCACAUACCCAUGUAAAUGGAAUUAUAUUAAUUUAUAGUGAAUCAAAUGCAACAUUAAAUCAUCAUAACACACCUAUGAGAACGGCUGCUACGGUCAUUCAAUGCUGUAGCACCCACAGCACGGUUCUUCUGCCCAAUGUUCAUUAGUUCAAUGACAUCAGAUGUUGACAUAACAGGGACUAAGUUUGCAUCAGGCACAUUAAGUCCUUUCUGGGAACUAUUACGAAUUUCUAAUGUAUUUACUUGUUAAGGAAAUUUAGUAUUACUGUCAGAAAAAGUUGAAGAAUGAGAACAUAUUAGCAAUAAAUAUGAUGCUUAAAAGUACAUCUAAAUUUGUUCCAAAAAUUACUACUACGCAUACCUGAGACAGACGUCCAACUACAAAGUCAAAACAAAAAUCUAAGAUGAACUAUUUUACAUAUUGAAACAUUUACUUGUAAAGGAAAUCAAACACAUUAAUGAAAUAUUUUGGAGCAGAAACAAAUAAAAGUGGGAAGGAUAUCUUUUGUUAAGACCAUCACUGACAAGAAGGUCUCUCACUUGCUCAUUGUAAAUUUCAAUCAUUUGAACAGAGAUUUCAUAAUAAAAUGCGCCCCUUCUUUGUUCUGAGAGUUUAAAUAGGUCACUCAGUGCCUUAUAAUUCACUCCCUGUGUUUGCUCAUUCAGAUUCCUAGGCCCACUCUGCAUAACAUAUAAAAUUAGCUCAACUGAGGUAGUUAGUCCACUAAAUGUCAACUUUUUAUAAGGGUAACAUCUCAAAUGCUCGAAGUAUUGAAAUAUCAUGAAAAAUCAUCUAAAUGAAAGCUUUUGGUUAGUCAUGCAAUUCUUUAUCUAAGAUGAGUUUUUGUCAAAUUUCUUACCAUAGUAUAUGUUUUCCCUGAUCCAGUUUGGCCAUAUGCAAAUAUACAAACAUUAUAACCAUCAAGAACAGAUCGAAUCAGAGGCUGUGUAUCUGAGAAUACCUCCUCUGCAGUAUGAUAAGAAAGAAGUGACUGGCUGCUCAAGAUAUUUACGUAUGAAAAGUAAGAAGCAAGACAGCAUCUCAUAAACCUUGGGUUGCUGAUGGACUGAAAAUUUUGUUGAAAUUGAAAGAUCUACGUCCUUCUUUUCCAUUCUUUGAAGGGGUGAGGAUUGUGAUAGUUCCAUCAUCGAUACAACCAAUAGUGCUACUACUUAGUUGUCCAGGUAGGAAGGGUCUAACUCGGCAAUAGACCCUGAUACUUCCUAUUAACGGGAAAAAGUGAGGUUAACACUGUAAAAAGUUAUUUCACACAAUACAAAAAUAACUAAACAGAUAGAAAGUUUACCCUUCAGAUCUUGCACUUGAUUGUAUAGCUUUCUGUUUUCUUCAAGUACUUUGUGAUAACCUGAAGCUGCAUGAGCAACGCUGAGAAGAUGCUUUCCUGUUAUACAAAAUGUGACGCAAAAGAACACAUAAAUAUUUCUUUCCAUGAGUUCAUUUAACCUUGACAGGUUCCCUAAUGAUAUGCUUUCCAUCUUACCAAGCUUACUGAAUUCCUCAGAGUACUUCAUUUGCACGAACUCCAUACCAGCUCUUGUAAUUUGAAGAGUACGUUUCAAUUCCUACAGAAGGCAUUGAAUACGGAUAUAAAUUGAUUAAUCUCACAUUUAAAUCAAGCCACCCAGGAACACCAUUGAAGCUGUGUUAUUACCUGAAUAUCUCUUUGUUGUUGCUCAAAUAUCUUAUGUUGCUUCAAAAUCUUCUCUUUUGAUGCCUCUUCUUCUUUCACAUUCUUACGAACAUAGCCCUCUUUCUUUGACCUCAUGAAAGUAAUUUCCUCCUUCUCCAUCUUAAAAAUGAUGAUGUAUUAUAGGGUUGGGUCAUUCCCACACUCAUUUAAGGACGAAGCUAUUGGAGCAAAUAUAUUAUAACAGGAUGUAAUGGUUCCAUUCUUUUAUUAUGACUAUUCAUGCUUAAAAAGUAUUUCAUAUAAGCUGCAUGAGAGAACAUUGCUUGAAAUCAAUCUAAUACAUACCUUCAUCUCACAAGAAGCAGAGGGGGGAUCUAUUGAAACCUUUUGUUUGCAAAAAGAUUUACUGUUGUCAGCAAGACCCUUCAGAGCUGUUUUCACCUGUUGAUUUUCCAAUACAAAUAAUUUUAUAGUCAUGAAUAUCAUCAUCAAUAAAUAUUUAUAGCUAUAAAAGAGUCACAACUCAAGAAGGGAUAAUAUAAUGAAGAGAAAUGAAGCACCUUCUUCAAAUAAACACACUAUAUUCACAAAUGACAGCCAAAUAGGAGGGUUGAAGGAUUUUAUUGGAAUAUGAAAUUAAAAUAUUACUUUUUUUCCUUCAAAUAAAACUGCAUACUAGAAAAACACUGGAAUAGAAUGUACCAGCUCGUUUUGGCUUGCUAUGCGGUGCUCAAAUUCUUCCAUUACUUUACCUAACAUAGACUCUAAAAGCUGCAAAUAGACAACAACAGUCUUAUCUCCCCCUUCUGCAUUCACUAAGAACAAUCAAUUAAUUAACAGGGAAAAAAUAAAUAAUCUUACCUGUGGAACUUCUUCAGGCCUCUUGCCGGAUAGGACCGCAUGUACAAGCAUACUCAGUGGACGCGAAGAAGUCUGUUUGGCAUAAUAUGCAGGAUGCUAAGCAAGGUGAAGCUAAUCAUUCAGUAGAAUGAAUUUCAAAAUUAGCACACUAACCAUUUCACUGGAUUCAAUUGAAAUGUCGCCACUUAAAUUAUGCUCCACACAUAAAACAUCAUUCUCAUUCAUUGACUGACUCCUUAACAAGGAAUUCUUGAAAGAUUCCGGAUUUUUCCUCAAGAAAUUUUUCCCUAAGUUGGAAGGUUUAGAAUUCCCACCAUAUUUCCAAGAACCAUGGCCGCCCAUUUGUUUCCAUUCACCAUAGGAUUUGAGAGCCAGAACGCAGUCCACAAUCCUGGCACUUUUCCCUCCCUGAACUUCCAGAAAGCAGGAUUGCAUAGAGAACACAAGGUUAAAAUGUAUUUUAUAUAUUUCAUCAUUAAAUUAUAAUGCAACACCUUGAAAAACUUUGACAAAGCCACAUAAUUAUCAGGUUGAAAUUAAAUGCAAUUCAAGAAAACUCAUUGUAAUAUCCAUCAAGCCUUAUUGCAGCUAAUUGAAGCAACUUACUGAAUCCACAUUCACUAAUCGUUCCAAAUCAAGAAAAUUCAAUGAAGCAAAACCAUGGAGAACAAUAUUUGAAAGAAGAAAUAAAUGAAAAGCUGGUUAACUCUAUCGACUUCCCCAAAAUGCACUUAGGAAGAAGAGUAAGAGUCUUGGAAAUCAAGAUAUAAAAUAGAACAUAAGGAUUCUUGAAUAAAAUGCCCAUGUGAACGAUCAAAACCAAAUCAUAAAUUAAAGUGAAGGAGGGACGAUUGUUAGACAAGAACUUUUAGUAUCUAAGAAUUACAAUGCCAUUCCUACCUGCUCCAAGUCAGAAGCCUCAAACAAAGGAAGACCAAUCUCUUGCACAGCCACAAGAAAGUUCCUUACAUUCUCAAAAUACUGGUAAGCCGAUAGGGCUGCACCAUCUGGGCGAAGAACUGAGUCUCCUGGAUUUACAACCACCUGAAAAGCGCAAAACCUGAGAAAAUAAACUGGUGCAGUCUAAAAAAAAGAACAAGAUAUAGCUUAAUAUUCAAUUGAGGAAAAUCAUAGAAGCCAGAGAUUUCAAUAUCUUUGUCGAAGUAGACUCACCUUUGGCACUGCACCAGGGUGAACCUUGUUGAGUGCAUUGCAAAGAAUCAACCCAUUUCUCAAUCCAAGCCUGAAUUCUUCCUCUGAAGGUUGGUCUGGCAAAUCCUUUGCAAGGACUACACCAACCACCUUUCUCAGCCACCCAGCUGCCUCAUACCUUCUUGUGGCUGGAAAAUAUAAAUCAAUGAAUUAAACGAAAAAUUUAAAAAGGAACAGAAAGAACUAUUUAUUCAUCAGUUAAGACGCAAAAAUUAAAACCCGUCACGCAGGAAAUCAUGAGACAUGCUAUAUUUUGUAGCUUGAUCCAAAAGAGAAGAUAAUUUUCAACCAACCAGCAAAUAGAAAUUAAGACAUGAAUUUUGUUGAACAUUAUCAUGAUGUAGAGAAGAAGUAGCAGCACAAAAACAUAAAAUUUUGACAUGAGAAACAUAUACAAAAAAAUGAAACAAAAAAAAUCAAUUUCAAGAGCUAUCUUGAUCAGGAAAUUCCUUUAAAAAAAACCCAGACGCAGGGUGUCUUACUUGAAUCCAUAAAAGAAGAGAUCAUGAAAAGAAGCAGCGAACUUUCCAAUCCACUGUAGCAAAGCAAUGAACAGGAAAUAAACAAAUUCAAAGUCGACCAAAUCUAUUGUAUCUAGUUUGCAAAUUACUUCCUCCAUGGCUCGCAUUUUGCCUCCUAUCUUUCGAUAAAAUUGUAGAUCAUCUGACCAUCUCAAAGAAAAAAGGAGAAAAAAAAGUAGUAGAAUUUACACGUGUUAAAUCAACAAGAGAGAAAAAAAAAGAAAGAAAGAAAAGAAAAAUUAGAAGUAUCUUGAACAACAAAUUUCAUAAAGUACAAAGAUCUCGUUUUUAACGGAAAAUGAGCAGAAAAUCUUUCACUUCUACAUCGCAACACGGCAGUAAGAACAGAUUCAUGUACAUAUCAAAUCAACAAGAGCAUUAUUCCAUCCCAGGGAGAAUUAAAAAACAAUGAUCAAAAGCUCGAAAACCCACCAGCUUCCUCCGCCUUCCUCGAAGCCAAAUCCACGUCGCUCAGCCUCGUCCCGUGCUGCUUGAGAACAUCCUCCACCACAGAAGCCACCGAUAUCGAAAAUAGCCCCUCCGACGCCAUUGCCGACCCCAAAAAAACUGCGGGAACAAAAAAAAUCACAACAACAGAGCCUCCAGUGCUAAAUCAGGCAAAAAUCCCCGCUUUCCCUUCCAUUCUCAACAUAAAAAAAAGCUCAAAAGACCUCUAAUAAACAAACAAUAAAAACUCUCGAUACAAGGGAUUAGGAAUAGAAUUGAGAUUAGGAGGAGAGAAAAGGAGAGCUGAAGCCUCUUUUGGAGGGGUGGGUGAGAGGAUAAAGGGGACGAGAGGGCGAGGAGAGCUCUUUCCGCUGGCUCUUAAUAUUUUCUCUCACGAAGACAACUACUACUCUUCUACUGUAAAGCCCUUCUAGUUUCUCCCCCACCACCCCACUCCAGGCCUCGUUCCGAACCUCCCACCCGUGGGCCGAACGGUUUCUCUUUCUUUUUCUUUUUUUUAUUGGAUGAAUCAAACAGUUCUAAUAAGGACAUAUUCAAAAAAAAAAAAAUGAUGAUCGGUUUCUCUCCGGAGGAGGCGGUGAAGUGGUGGGAAAAAAAAAUAAAGACUGACGGAUUUUAACGUUUCGUCUUUCACCUCGUCGGCUUUUGAUUUGUGCCGUUAACAUGUCGAAUGACGGGCUUGCCCUCGCGGUCGAACUUUUCCCUCUGCAGCUGUCAUGCCACGUGGCAGAGAAGAUAGGUUUCUAGAAACAUUUUUCUUUCGUUUCGUUUGGAGUCUUGUGGUUCAAGGCAAUGUUGAUAGUUUGGAUCCUCUAUGAAACUGAAACUAAGGUCUAUUUGAUGAUCCAGUUUAUUUUUUAAUUUUUAAAAAAUAUUUUCUUUGUUUCCAAACAUUGUGAAAGCAAAAAAAAAUUCUGUUUUUUUAUUUUUAAAAAAUUAAAAUUAUUUAUGGUUAUUACUACCAUCUCAACCGACCCUCACUACCACUACCCAAUACAAGUAACUAGCAAACAAUUUUUGAAUUUUUAUUUUAAAUAUAAAUAAAUAAAAUUAUUUUUAAUUUAGGUUUUCUACAUGAUAUAAAUAUUAAAUUUUGUAUAAAUAAUCUUCCAAAAUUGAUAAUUUGCAUGUAUUCCCUCGUAAAACAAUUGUUUUGCUUUCUACUUUUUUUUUUAUUCUUAUUUUUGCAUACGUACUCACGCCAUCUAACGUCGUUAAAAAAUUAACGGUUUCAAUUAAAAUGAUUAAAAUAUCCUUAAUUGAUAGAUUGGUAAAAAGAAAUAUUUAUAAGGCAAUCGUGAUAGAGAAUAAAAAAGUAAUUUCUAAAUUUUAUUUUAUUUUUAAUUAAAAUAAAUAUAAUUUUUAUUAAUAGUGUUAGAAGAACCAUUAGAUUAGCGACAUUUGUGCAAAAACAAUGUUUUCUGAGGGUACAUAAAUAAAUAUAAAUUUUAAGACGGUAUUUAUGCAAAUUUGAAUUUUUAAAAGGGUAUUCAUGCGAAAAGUUUAGAACUAAAAAUUAAAAUGAUGUUAAACAUAAGCUUAAUCCCCGCUUCAAACUGCCUGCUAUAAGCACUAGGUUUUGAUUGGAUACUGAAAUGCUUUAAUAGACGACAGAUUUUCGAUACUUCUAUCUUUAGAGCAGAGCUGCGGGUAGCAUGGGAGGGCAUCUCCUACGCGAGGCGCGUUCUAGGUGUGGAGUGCAUCCACCUGGAGGGUGACUCGGCCCUGUGAUCGAGAGGGUCCGCGGUCGAUAGUGGGCAGUUCCUACUUCGUGACAUACGGUGGAUGGCUCGAGAGUGUGGCUACUUCAAGGCCACUCAUGUAUAUUGAGAGGCCAAUAUAGCGGCCAACUACGUGGCCUCCUACGCGGCACAUCACUCUGGAGCUUUUCUUUGGGUAGACCAGGUAGAUGUACCUUAUUUAUUUAGUCCGCUUUUUUCUUUUCUUUUCUGAUUUCAAUGGCUGUACUCAUAUAUGUAUAGUGUGAAGAGCCAGUAUACCAAAAAAAAAUGCUUUAACAAAGCUAUUUUUUAAAUUCCAAAAACUCUGGUAUAUAUAAAGCGGUUUGAAAUGGAAACAUGUAGUAUUUUCCUUAACCCAACUAAACUUGAUAGUAGUAAUUACUUCACUAUACUUCUAAUUCACUAAUAUAGUAUAGCUACACUUGUUGAAAAUUCAUAGAAUUUGAGUGCAUGCUUGAUUAUAAUAGACCGAUAUGAAUUGGAUGAGAAUGAAAACCCUCAAUUUUUAAUAAUAUUUAUUGCAUAUAAGUUAGGACAACUUUAUUUCUUUUAAAUGGUAAGAGAACUCCAUAUAGAUCAUUUUGGCCUAUGAAAUCUAUCGUGAAUCCAAGGAUGUAGAUGAUUUGUUGCCUUAAUAUACAUCAAAGGAUUCAAAGUCUACUAAUUACGUCACAUGCAAAGCUUGUAAAAUCUCACUAAAUAUAUCAAGCAAGCAUCGAUACAAGUAGCAAUAGCAAAAUUGUUUGAGUUAUUACCUCUUAUUUGCCUUUGUUUUUUGGCACCUUAUGGUUGUGCAUUACACAAAGACAAGCAUUCCUGCGUUUGGGCAUGUGAAGUUUCAAUGCAUCCACAUUAGAGGACUUAUAAAUUAGGAUAAAGUUCAAUAUAUUAUGCAUCCAUGGCAGAUAUAGUGUUAAAAAAUAAUGUUUAAUUAAAGGAAAUAAAUUUGAUCGAAUGAAAGCAAAAUCAACAAAUUUGACAAUCUUAAAGAUAAGCUAGCAGCACAAGAUACUGAAACUAGAAGGUCAUGAUUCAAUUGUAGGAUAGCCAACUCUGCACUAAAUGGGACACAUUGGUUAGGACUCAAUACAGUAAUUGGAAAUAAUCUCUCUCGCAUUUAAGACGGGGGCAUAUAGCAAUUUAGCUGAGCUAUGAUGUAUCUCUUAAACUCUUUUUUUUCAUAAGUGAAAGGUACAUUUAAUAGGAAUACCUAAACAACUAGUAUCUAUAUGCACCAAAAAAACAACAAAUAUUUGCUUGGCUGAAUUCAUGGGAACAAGACCCUGAGAGGAGGAAAAAAAAGGAAAAAGGAAAGGAUUUUCUAUGCCCCAAGCCAGCAGUGCAUGGAAAUUUCCUGAUAUGACAUUUGGGUAUCCUGCUUUUUCUAGAGCUUUCUGCUAAUUUCACCUGUUGGAUCAUAUGUGGGUGAGCUAAAUGAUGCUGCUUCCCUGUCCUUAGAACAAUUUCCUGAAAGUAAGGAAGUUGUUGCUUGGUUGCAAUCUCAUCUAUCAGAAUUAGGUACUUGUUUCCUUAAUAAAAAAAUUAAGUACCUGUUUAAGUUGAUAAAUAAACUUAUAUAGGCUUAUCCUCCUAAGACUUAAUUAUAUGAAAAAUGAUAAAUUAUGUUGAUUCCAUUACAUGUUAANNNNNNNNNNNNNNNNNNNNNNNNNNNNNNNNNNCUUGUCAGGUAGAGGACAAGCUUCCAUUCUUUGGAUUCAGACCCAAGCAGUCUUCUCCUGCUUCUCUUGUUAAUUAUGAGAAGCAUAAGAAGGAUCUUCCACUGGUUGCAGGUAUUCAAGUUCACUCCUCCCUCUUAGCUUUUCAACUUCAAUAUCCUUCCUUUUAUUCUGAAGAAAAUUCAGUAUCAUUACUUUUUUUUUUGAGGAAAUCAACAUCUCUACUUCUUGAGUUACUGUUAACAAUGAUUAGAGUCUUUUCCUCGUGUACCUUUUACCCUCUCAUCCUUGGUGGUUGGCUGCAUCCCAAACAGUGCCCUUUCCUCUGACAACAUGACAUGCUUUUAUUUUGCUGUUAAUUAGGUUACUAGAAACACUACAGUCAAGAUGUCAAUACUAAAAUAUCCUGCUCAUAUCCUUGUGACAAGCUGAGAUUAGUGCAGUUCAUGAGGUUGCUGAUCAUGAUAUGCUACAUCAACAUUUUUUUAUGGAAAUAAAGUUGGCAUGAAAAUUGUGCAGGCAUGAAUGAAAUGUCAUAGUAUUUUUAUAAUUUUUUUAGCCAAUAAUUUGAUUCAUCUACAGCAUGAUUCUAGUUGUUAGACUAAGGUGAGCAAGAAACAUAAAGAAGAUAAAGUUUAUCGACCUUUGUUAAAAGAUAUAGAGACAAUAACUAUUAGCUUGGUUGGCAUCCUUCUCCUAAGAUCUUCUUCUUAAGAAGGUUCAGGAUGGCGCAUUACCACUCAAUUGCUAUAGAAAAAGAGAAAGGAGAUGAUGAUGCAAAUAAUGGUGUCUUUAAAUAAUUCCAAGAUCGAUGAUAUUUUUGUUAUGUUAUUUUUGUAGAUCCAUAAUUUAGAAGAUAUUUGGACCAGAUAAUUGUCGUUCAAUCGAAUGUCCAGCUAGUGGUUUAAUCAGAUUCUCCACAAACUGCCCCAUAUCAUUUUAGUACUUCUCUAAACUAUCAAAGGUUCAAAAGUUUCAAUCAGUGAAAAAAAAAAACUGAAGCUGGCUAUAUCUUUCUUGAGAAAAAGGAGAGAGACUCGCUCAUACCAUAAUCAUCUUGUCUAUAUUUUGUGAAAAAAAAAGAGGAUCCACUUAUAUUAUAAUUAUCCAUGUCUAUAUUUUUAAAAAUACCAUCAAAAAAUCAAAUGAAAAAUCCCUAGUUCCCAAACUUAAAGUUGUAAUCAUUAGGACAAGCCCAGAUUCGAACUUAGGUGUGUUGACACUUGCUCUAUCGAAAGUUUAUAGGUUUAUUGAUUUCAUGUCACUAUAAGUCAUCUUUCCAAUUAGCCCUAUUUGACAUGAUAGUAUUUCUAUUGUUGCCUACAAACCCUUUUUUGGCUUCUUACUCAAACAUCAUAUAAAUUUAACUACUUUUAGUAAAAAUCUAAUGUAUCUAAUUUUUCCAUAAACAUCUCGGAUCACGAGCCAAAUGCAAAAGAUUUAUAUUCUAAUGGAAGUUUGUUUGAUCCCUAGGAAAAUGUUUAAGGGCAACAUGGGAUUGAGAACCCUAAACAAAUCGACCCCAAUGAGGCAGGGUUAUUAAUCCAUUCAAAGCCAUUGCCUAUGGUGGGCCGGCACCAAAGAACAUGUCCUUAACCUCUUAACGCAUUCAUCUAAGUGCUAACAUACUUUGUAAUUGUUGUUUGUUGUUAUGUCAUUUUCCAGUCUGUUUGCUUCUUUCUACCGAAAAGCAUUUGCUGGACCGGGACCUGGUUUCGAAGAAGUUGGUACCCUCUCUCCCUUAAAGGCACCAGGUUGCUUUUGGACCUUCUAAGGUGCAGUCCCAUUGGUGGUGUGAUCUAGGUACAUGGUUUGGAGGCUGUUCGAGCCCUGUGGUUAGGUAUAAUGUCCAUUGACCACAAGGUUGUAUGCCUAUGGUGGACUCAAUGUCUAGCUGAGACAUUUUGGAACCGACUUAAGCUGAUAAGAUGAAUUGACCAAUGAAAGCUCGCCACCUAGCCACGGGUUGACAAUUUAAAGCUUGCCACAUAGCCCACCCAAAAGACAUGCGGAGAGUUCUCUACAUUUCAAACUCUUUCCGCAGAUGACAACAACUCGGCCGUAUCGCUAGCUAUUUUCUAACAAAUGUGAUACUCGAGUAAAUCCCGCUAUCGAGAAAUACAGGAGAGAUUCACAUGCGAGAUAUGUGAUUUGUUACCUUAUCAAAUGACGUAUCUUCCUCAAAUUACUUAGCGAUGAGUUCUGGCCUUUGCCUAUAUAUUGCACUCCUGGGUUCUUUAGGUAAGUUUUCUUUCAAUUCUCUUGUGUUGCAUGUGCUUAUCUCAGGCUUCCUCCUGUUUUCUGAGAGUUGGUAUAUGACUUAGGCAUCGGAGAGUUACUCGUCGGACAUGCUCUGAUGGAUGAACUUUUUUAUUUUUGUUGUUUUAGGUUGGAGCCAACGUUAGAACGCUAUCUAAAGCCAUUCCUCUGCCUUCCAACUCCACCAGAUCAUCACCGUAGAGGCGUGUAACAGUCCUAUUCGAUCUCUCUAAUCCGAACCAUUUCAAGUUGGAGCCAGCAUUAGAGUGCUACCGAAGCCAUUCCUCCGCCAUCCAACUCUAUCAGAUCAUUGUCGUAGAGGUGUGUAACGAUCCUAUUCGAUCUCUUUGUUAUGGAUGGCAGACAAGCUGGAAACUUCAGCGACUGCCAUCAACUCGGUGCCUGGUUUGGAAUUGUUCCCAGCAGCUACAGGGGUUCUUUAUCAAAUCAAUAUAAUCAUUUAGAACAAAGAAAUCAUGGAUCAUCUAAUUAUUGGGCAGUUUAUGAUUAAUUGAAGACAAAAUUCACAUACAACAAAUAAUCAAUAUGAAGUCGAAGAUGGCUCCACUUUUACCGGAUAGGAAAUUAUUGUAGGGCAAUAGACCUCUUGAACUACCAACUUCCAUAAGUCAAUUAUUAAGCUAGAAUUAUUAGAUAAUAAUAUAAUAUUCUAGAAUGAGUUUGAAUGAUGAUCGAAUCUUAUAUGUGUACCCUAAUUUGGGAUGUGAAACUCAAGCUUAGCGGCAUGUCAAGUUCAUGAUAAAUUAGGGGAAAAGGAUUUUUCGCAUAUAUAUGUUCUUAAAUUAUAUAUAUAUAUAUAUAUAUAUAUCCUAUAUUUAUAUGGGUAUACAUGUAAAAAAGAUUAACUUAUAAGGAUAUAUAUGUAAAUAGUAAUUUUGUGAGAAUGUAUCUAUAAUUUCAAAUAUUUAUAAAGAUAUACUAUAAGGACCAGUGUGGGUGUGUGUUUAGUCCUACAUCGUUUAUUCGCCGGGAAGAUCUUAAGUAUUUAUAAUAAUACCUUCUGGCUAGCUAUUUUGGAUGAAGUCUUAGUUGUUACAAAUGGUAUCAAAGCAGAUCUGACCGAUGACUGAUAUAGAUUAAGGAGCACUGCAGCAUGGGCUGAUGGAGGCUGUCCACGGGCUGAUUGUAGUGCCUGUGAUUAGAUUUGAAUACAUGUAAACUCUUAGUCUGACGAGGACGUUAGGAUUUAAAUGGGGAAAUAUGUGAGAAACUAUAUGAGAGUGUGUUUAGUCCCAUAUUGUUUAUCCGUCAAAAAAUUUUGGGUACUUAUAAAUUACUUCUAAAUAGCUAUUUUGAAUGAGAUCAAAUUAUAUAAAAAAAUAUUUUUAAUAUAUAAAUUUUCUACGGAAGCAGUAUUAUUAGUAUCAGAUUCUGUCAUGCUCUCACUAUCAGAUCAGCCUGGUCAGCCUUAAAGAGUAGUUGCAGGUUGACAACCAAUGGAUUCAAAAACCCGCCCAUAGGCUAAUAUCAAGAGUGCCGCUUAGCUAAACUUCUAUUCGAUAUCUUAUACGGGCACGGGUACAAUUCGCUAGAAAAUGAUGAUUUUUUAAAAUAAUAUUUUUAAUAUUUCCUUUCAUCACAUCACUAAACCUGGUAACGAAGCGGCUCCUUGGCACGUUCACUUCAGAGACAAUCCCAAGAAGGCGCAGACCAUGCACGUGCCUACUGACGUCCCAACGUUCCGAAAAAAUUCAAACGGAGGCUCGGGGUCGGAACCAGAAAGGUUCGGGCUCGGCACCAGCGAGACUCGGGAGCUCCCGCUUUGAGUGGGUAGCUUCGAUUAAUCGAUGGGGGAAAAAAGAGAAAGUUCCAAGUGGGGCCCGAGAGGCGCGUCUUCGGGGGAUGGGCGGGGCCCACCUUCCUCGCGCCGGCCGGCCUGGGUGUAUCUUUCGCGCGACAGAAUGAUGGCCGUUGGAUCUCUCCCUGAACAGCUCUCAAAGCAGUCCGAACUCUUCAUCAGCGGCCAAAGCGCGAUCCAACGGUGGAUUUGCGCGAAGGAAGGUGAAUCCUUGUUUCGCGCGAAAGAUGCAACCCCUGUCCGGCCACGACAAAGGGAAAGGGCAAAGCCAAAGGCAGCCGGCCCCGCUCCCACCCGGCUUGUAAGGGGCGGGUCCUUCGCCGGAAGACUGGGUGGGACCCGCGGCCGAACACUAUGAACCCCCCGCCGAGCAAAGAUUUCUCUCAUGCGGCCUGCUGAUAGAAGACGGCAAUGCAUAUAAAAAACUCCAGAUAAAAUGAAACCCUUCUAAAGAGAGUAUAAGAAAUGAUGAGCGUACUGUACAAUUGUUUUGGUCACUUAUACAUGGAAUUUUUUCAAUAAGAAACUCUCAAUUUUUUUAGUUAUUUUAUGAAAUUUUUUUUGAAAUAAUUGGCUCGUACAACUUUAGAAUGGAUGUAUUAAGAUAAUCGGAAAAUGAAAUAUCCCAAAAGUGAAAUGAAAUAUCACCAUAAGUCUUCCUGCUGAUGUCUCCCGAAUGCUCAGUCAUAUAGAAAGCUACCCGGCUAGCCGCACCAUUCACCUCGCAAUAAGCAUGAAUCGCCUAGAAUUCAUCAAGGUUUUGAUAAUAUUUCAAAUGUCUCGGAGGAGUGGAUGGUCCCACCCAUAACCGGCCGGCCUAGCCACCCACCUGCAGCAUCUUUAAAAAAAUUUGAUUCAAGUGGUGUUUCCAAGCAAACUAUUUUGCUGUUAACCAACAGAGUAUUUUUAGCCAAAAUAUGAACACUCUUUUGAUGUCCCCAGCUUCACAUGCCAACCAAAGCACUAUAUUCUAAGUCAAAUUCAUUGCUGACCCUUUGUUGGAACAAAUCUCAACAAACUUAAUCACUAGGCAAGGAUUUGAACUAAAAAAAGAAGGAAACGCAAGUGUGAUUCAUAGGUGGACUAGCUAUUAAGAUGAUAUUUGAUAAUUAAAAAUUUCAAUAAUUUGCAGUCAGAUAUUUGUCUUUUUUUUAAAAAAAAUUCUAUAACCUUUAGUUUCUGCAUGAGGGUGUAACCAUUGAGGCGACACCUAAUACACAAAGUUA
rnacentral:lncRNA from 1 species